UUAAAAUAGAAUUAAAAAUAAGAGAGACAAAUUAUAAACAAAAUCAACUACCAAAAUAACAAAAGGGACCGGCGUGUAACAUGCACGAAUGCACAAGGACCAAAUCUGGAAAUAAUCCAGACCCCUAAACUCAGCGCUAAAGCUAGGACCAAGGUGCGAACGCACGCAAAUUAUGGGGAAAUUUUAAAAGAAAAAGAAAUGCGAAUAUAAGCUGAUUUGCACAUGACGCGAAAGGGGAGGGACCUAUAUCGAAAAUUCCCCAUUUGAGGCGCAAAGGCACGGAUCCGGAUCCUGGGACGGGUCGACGCGCGGAGUCCCCUCCCCUAAACGACGCCGUUUUUGGAGCCACUGAAUCAAGCCCAAAACGACGCCGUAUUCAAACCUUUAAAAGAGCCAAAAUUUGGCUAUUCAGCCAUUUUAAACCCUAGCCCCCAUUUUGCUUUACCAGCCGACCUUUAGCUAAAUCAUUUGGCCCUCGCCUCCAUCGUCCCCAACCGCAGGCACAUUCUCCUUUUGAAAACAAUUUUCAACCUCGAGACCCCUCCUUCACCCUAGAUUUCAACGAAGCAAGGAGGAGUCAACGGCAGAUUCGCGAGGUAAGCCUCCUAUUCUCUUCUCUUUUUGAAUAUCAGAAUCACAAAUCCAAAAAGAAAAACUAAAGAAAAUAAAGUAUUUAGGGAUUUUUUGAAUAAAAAAUCACCUUGCUCUUUUUUUUGAUUGCUUUGUAUUGCUUCUCUGUGCGUAACGUUUACAAAGAUUAAAAUCAUGGCUUUAUAGCCGAAAAAAAAAAGAAAAAUCAAUGAAAAAAAUACCAUAUUUUCUUUGUUUGUAUUAGCUGCUGUGGUUUGUCUGUUCUUCGCAGGUACGGGGUGCGUAGGCAUCAUACGGAGGUUGUGUUGGCGCUGGCGUGGUUGCUGGAGGGUACGGAGGCUAGGGCUGCUGCGGCGCAAGCAGAAACUACUAAGGUUUCUGCCUUGGCUCUUGUUUUAGGCAUUGGGCCUAUGUAUUAGGUUUUGGGUCUAAGCAAUGGGUUUGGGCUAGGGUAUUAGUUAUUGGGUUUUGGUUUGUAAAUGGACAUUUAAUUAAUGGACAGUUAAUUUUUUUGUUUAUUAUUAUAUAUAUAUUUUUAUUUUAGACUUUGGUUCUGACGUGGGCCCAAGCAAAUUGGCUCAUUUACACCUCAACUUGAGUUUUUCAAAAAUAGAUAAAGUUAUUAAAUUAAUACUAGCUCGUCGCAUAGUGCUCUAUUAAAAUAAAUGCUCCCAAUCUCUAUUGGAAUUGUAAAACUUCUCCGGUCUUUUAAUUUUUGGGGAACCUGCCUUGAAAUAAUAACACUACAAGAGGCACUAAAAUUAACUUGUUCUCCUACCUUAAUUUUCCUAUGCUUAGACAUAAUUUCAUUUAAAAACUUGGCGUACUUAGGGACUUUCUUAAUUAACUCAAUUAAAGGAAGAUUUAUUUUUAGUGUUUUGAACAAGUUCAGGAAACUUACAAACUCAUCUUUAUCCCGUUUUUGCUUUUAUUCUAGUCUUGAAAGGAAUGGGACUUUUGUAACAACAACAUUUUUAGCUUUUUCUUUCUGUGGCCCCUCUGUCGACACAAUUACCUCAUUUAAUUCUGGUUCAUCUUCAGCCUCUAGGGAUUUUUCUGGAGGAUCAUCAGAAUUCUUCAUAUUUACCUUUAAAGUAAGAUUUUCUUGACUACUCAGUACUUCGCCCGAUUGGAGUGCUAUUGCUUCACAUGCUCCUUACUUUCCCUCCAAGGAUUAUUUUCUGUAUUGUUGGGGAUUCAGGUGCCAAUUUGCCUUUUGAUGUCACCCAUCGUUCUCAUUAAUUAGCUUAUUUGAUCCUCAAGUUUAGUCAAUGUUUUGGUUGAGUUGGUGCACUUAGACUGCACCUACUUUAUGUCUAUUUUCGUUGACUUCAUCUCUCAUUCGAUUCUAUACAACCAUUGACCACAUGCAAUAUGGUCACUUGGGUUGACCCUAUCCUAAGAUUUCUACAAAUAAGGAGGUUGAUAAUUAGUAUUUUUUGCUUGAUUCAAACUAUUACCUCCUUUUUGGUUUCCUCCCUAUCUCAGAUUUGGGUGAUCUAUCUAGUAGGAUUAUAGGUAUUUGAAUAAAGGUUUCCACCCCUAUUUCUGAUAUAAUUCACACCUUUGGCAGGAUUGUUAAUGUAGUGAAAAAGUAGUUUGUCUUCUCCAUACAUAGACGGUUUAUUAGCAUAUUUGAUACGGUUAAGUCUAUCUGCUAGCUUAAUACUUGCCAUCCUCUUGGAUAACUUUCACCGUGGCAGUUUUCUAGCCAUAUGUGAAUCUUCCAAUGGGCUAUUGAUAAUAGUUCAGCUCCAUGUUUUCAAUUAUUUCAAACACAUCUUCGUAUGUUCUGUUCAUGAGGGCUCUUUCUGUUGCUCUUUCAAAUCUUGAUCUUGCAUUCGCAUCCAACCCAGUAUAAAACACUUGCAGUCGCAUCCACUCAGAGAAUCUCUAGUGUGGGCACUUUUGAAUCAACAUUUUGAAGUGCUCCUAUACCUUAUAGAAACUUUCCCCUUCCAUCUAUCUAAAGACAACAAUCUCUCUUUUUACUUGAACCACUUUGCUAAUAGGGAAGAACUUUUGCAAGAACUUUCUAGGAAGCUCGUCCCAUGUCCUAAUAAACCUUGGUGCCUGAGAAUCUAAACAGUAAAAGGCAUUAUCAAUCAAAGAAAAGGGAAAAAACCAAAUAUAAAUAGCAUUAUCAAUGACCUCGUUGUACUUAAAAGUAUCACACAAUUGGAGAAACCGUUUUAAUUGUUGAUUUGAAUCCUCUGUCAUUAUGCCCCUAAAUUGCAAGUUAUUCUAGAUCAUCUGAAUCAUUGUCAGUUUAAUCUCAAAAUUAUUUGAUGUAAUAUUCAGCCUUGUUAUACUUUCCUUAACCAUGUCUAGACUUGGUAAUGCGUUGUCUCUUAAGGUUCUCACGUUACGAGUCAUGUGCACGUUCACAGGUAGUGGUGUUGGUGCUGGUUGAUUUUGCAUCUACUGCUACUAAUGUUGCUGUCAAAGAUUUCUUUAGAUUAUUCUCUCUAGAUCUAUGACUGCUACAAUAGGUGUGCCUCUACUACGAGUCAUACACUAAACCCAAAAAGAGAAUCUUAGGGGUAAUAAAUAAAAUAAAAUUGUUUUUAUAACCUUAAAAUUUUCUAUUUAUUCUUUCUGAAGUGCAGAUUUUAAAAUCAAAGCAGUUACGUUGCCUCCUUGGCAACAGUGACAACAACUUGACUGUAUCCGGACAUACUCACGUCUAGAGUGUGAAUACUAUAGCAAAAAAUAGAGAUAUAUGAGGCGAUAUCUGCAAGUAUAAGGAUCCAGUUGUAAUAUAGUUACAAUGAAGUAGGUGAGUAAUUCGAGGAUCAUACCCAAGGGAGGCGAGUGCUAGAUCAAUUUUAAUCUAAACACCAAAAGGUCUAAUUAGUACUUUAAGUUAGUUAUAGUACAAUAGUAAUGAAAGAAAGUUUUUAAGAUUUUUUUAUGAUAACAAAAUAAAAUAACAUAAAGAAAUAAAAUUCAAGAGAUUAGAGAAUGGGAUAAAUCAAAUCUGAUUAUGGGUGAUUAGCUCGUUGUGGUAUUUCCCAUCAAAUUCUCUUUUAGUUCCUCGUCAAUUAACUCAUCACUAUCCCAACAAGAUCUUCCAAUUUUUGACUCAAAUAACGAGUCAGUAAGAACUACUUAUCUUCCGUCCUCACAGUCCAAACUGGUUUGGGGUGAAGGUGUUUAUGGCCAAACCAAUUUUAGGUUAACUCCCACCUUGGUUACUUCCCAAGGUUAUCAUCCCUAAGGUUUUAAGUUCUUCCUUUCCCAAAUAGAUAAUCCAUUAAGUAACCCGACAAAAUAGUUAAUGGAUGAUACCUCCACUCGCUAAUCCCCAAUAAAAGGACUAGUUCCUCAUGGAUUUCAUAAACAAUAUGGAAUUGAUGUAAAGAGAAAACAUGAUAAAUGAACUGAAGUAUAGAGUUUAAGAAAACACCUGAUUUGUAUUAAAAAUAAAUCAAAUUCACAGAGUUUGACUAUCUCCACAAGUCAGAUCUCUUAAGAUAAACAAGAGCAACUUCAAGAAUAAAUCAAAAACCUAAAAAGGAAGAAAAGCUAAACUGAAAUAAAAAGCAGAAAACUAAGCUAAGUAAUUGGUGUCUUUUACAGGUGACAAAUGAGACUAUUUAUAAAUCUCAAUUGGUCAUCGUCCUUAACCAUAGGUUAGAUGACGUUCCCAAGCUUUAAGUUUCAUUGUGCAGACUAAAACGCCCCUUGGCUCGUGUUAUUUUCUGUCUAAAGUCGAUGUCACAACACUCUCGGACCUGUUUCAUGCCAUAAGAGUCAAUAUACUCCUCUUUGGGAUAUCUUUAGGGGUAUGUCGCAACACCAUUAAGCUGUGUUGUGACAUUGAAGGUAAUUUCGUGAUUUCUUCAUUCUACUCCUUAUGUUGCGACAUUGAGCAUUCUGUGUUGUUACAUAUUGACCAAUAUCUAUUUUGUAACAGCCCGUUUUUUAGUGAAAUCGGAAUAGUGGUUUCGGGCCACAAAUCUGAUCCAAAAUAUAUUUUAAUUUUAUUUUACCAUAUAGCCCGUAAUAUGAUAGAAAUGACGUGUGAAAAUUUUGAUAUGAAAAUUUUAUCGAUUUAGUGCCUAAUUACAAGAAGAACUAAAUCGCAUAAAAUGUGAAAGUUGAAUUCUAGUAGCUAUGAGGAUCAAAUAGCUAUGGAAUUCAAAACUUAUAGCACAUUUGGUUCACUGUAAUGGAAUAGGGCUGUAAUUGAAUAGAGCUGUAAUGGAAUAGAGCUGUAAUAAGUAAUUCUACUUUUUGGUUGAAUGGAAUGGAAUAGAACUGUAAUAGUAUUCUUGUGUUUGGUUGAAUGGAAUGAUGUUGUAAUAGGAUAAGAAAAAAAACUAAAAUGACCAAAAUACCCUUAACAGAAUUUUUUUUGUUAGGCAGAUGAUUAUUAUUAUUAUUAUUAUUAAAUUUUAACAAGACUAUUAUUAAAAAUAAUUUAAUAAAAAUAAUAAAUAAUUUAAUCAUAUUUUAACAUAAUUAUUAUUAAAUAUAAUUUAAUAAAAUAAUAUAUAAUUUAAUAAAAUUCUUAAUAUAAUUAUUACUAUAUGAAUUAAAAAAUCAUAAUAUAUAAUACUAUAAAAAUAAUAUAUAAUCUAUUUUAUUAUUUUUAAACUGCACUACAUAUUUAAUGUGCUAAAAUAUCAUUAGUGAAACAAAUAAUUUGAUUAUUCUACAAUACAAAACAAAAUAUAAGAAGUAAUAAAUAACUUGAGAAUUAUAUUUCACAUCCAAACAUAAUAUUCAUAUAUUAACAAAAAGUUACAUGAUUUCAUUAGUUUAUAUGUCAUCAUCCAUAUGUUAUAAAAUUUUACAACCUCAAAAAGUUACAACAUUGUAAUGACAUUCUAUCAUGUCAUUAUACCAUCCAAAUAUUACAAACACAAAAAGUUACCAAAAUAUCAUCAACAGAACCAUGAUUUUUAAUGGUCAGUAAGAAAUCUUUUGACCCAUUCCAAUCGAUUAGUUAGAUACUUCAAAUCGAAGUGAAGCAUGAUAGAAGAUUAUCAGACAAUAUAAAACAAUCAUUGAUUGCAUUAAAAAAAGAGUAGGUUUGAUUGUGGUAUAUAUGAUUAUUAGAGUGUAGUGUUUUUGGAUUUCAGUGUCUUUUAUUUUUCUAGGUAUGAGAGAUGGGUUGGGUAUAACUAGAUCUUAAUAUCAAUGGGUCCUUGUAAUUAAUGAUAGUUGAGAACAAUAUAACGGUGUAAAGAUAGAAUAAGAUACUUUGGUUUCAAAAGUAUCUUCCACUUUAAUUUUCUAUUAUAAAGAUAUGAUUAUUUUUUUAACUUCUUUAAAUUACUUUUAUAAAUUCAAUAAUGAAACCAAAAACCUAGCAUUUAAGGGGUUGAUAUAUAUUAAUUAAUAAUAACAAAAGACUCAUUAACAACAUUUCUUUUAAGCAAAGAUUAAGCAUCACCCAAGUUUCCAUCCUUGUCAAUCUGCAACCUGUUUGUUUAUUUUUAACUAGAUAUACAAUAAUUUCUUUUAAAAAUAAAAUAAAAUUACAAGCUAAAUAACUACAAUAAAAAUCGAAUAUUACGAUACUAAUUAUAUACGUGGGACUUAAACUCAUUACCAUUAAAUUAAGGUAUCUUAAGUUAAAUUAGACUAGAUUAUGAUACAUGAUUUAUGUAAUUCAUCCCCUUCCUAUAUUUGUAAGGAUAAAAACAAAAAGAUAGUUACAAUAAUUUAUUUAGCUAUUUAAAUUUUUUUAAUUAUUUUAGUUUUUUUUAAAUUCUUGGUUUUUUUUAGCUUUUAAACUUGUGUUAUUUGUCGAAUCACGAUCUUAGAUCAAUAAGUAAUUAAUUUUUUAAAAUAUAAAAAUUUUAAAAAUUUGUUUAAGAAAAACUAAAAUGUAUUAAAACUAUUAAAAAUAAAAAUUACAAAAAGUAUUUUUUAAUUUUUAAAAAUUAACCCACGUCAACAAAGUUAACACACAAACUUUUUCAUUCAUUUCGGAGUGAUUUGAUAAAUAAUGUAAGCUCAAGGGAUAAAACAAGUGAAAAUUUAAAUGGAUGAUUAAAACGGCUUUUUUGUAAAGUUAAAGGACAAAAUAAGUCAUUAUACAAAAAAUAUUAAAAGAAAAAGAAAGCAACUCACAAGUAAAAUGUUGUGGCAAAGUUUACCACUCAGCAACCACAGUAUAAUGUUACUUUUCCAACCAAGUUUCAAGCAAAGCCUGGAUGUGACUUGCCAUGAAAAUUUUAUCACUUUGCAAGUUGGCAACUACCCUACAAUCUAUAUACAACAAUGCUCUGCAGAUGAUGAGGAUCAAAUACUCAUUUCAUCUAUGAUUGCGGAUAUAGAACAUAGAGACUGUAAUUCCCACAAUAAUCUAUACAUAAUCAUGUUAAGCAUCUCAUGUUCUUACAUAUGAUUCACACAUUCCUUUCUGCUUGGAAUAAAGCCACCACUAAACCAAGUACCAGGUGUGCUAACAAAUAAAUAUACUUUCUUGCAAUUUUUAGCUAUUUGUUAUAAGCUAAGUAACCCGAACACUGUCCUAAAAGAUUCUUUUUUUGUUUUUUUAUUGCCAGAAGAAUCCAGAAAAAGUUCUAAUAUAUACAUUGUUCAUGUAUUCGUAUCCAACAAACACUCACACACAUGAAAAAUUCAGAAGCAAGGAAUUAAAAAUGUAGUGGUGUGUGUAACCCACAGGCCUCAACCAUGUCUUGUUUUUGUGAUUAGGGCUUUAAACACCACCAAAUUUGGAUUUAAGGAGCUGGUUACCAUCACAAAAGCAUAUCAAAUAAACUGCAUUGUGCAUAUUAUAUAGCCAACCCCUGUAUGCCAUAUUAAAAUCAUUCCUAAAUUGACAAUCAAUACAUUGGGUACUCAGUCAAAUUUUCCAUCUAAAUCAUCAUAUAAGAAUUAUAUGAGGAUGCAAAAUUGAAGAUGUCUCACCUCACAAUCUAAUGUACUUCCAUAGAAAAGGACAUCCCCCAACAAACAAAAUUGUAUAGAAUUGUUGAGGCAGGUCUUUAUAUUAAAAUGAACCUGAAAUAGUAGAGGAAUCUGUUCAUCUAAUAGGUGUAGUUAAAGCUUAGCUUAAAUAACUUUCGAAACCUUCGAAAUUCAGACUUUUUUAGGGGAAGUAGUAGUGAAUGUUGCAACGCGAAAUUCAUGAUAAUGGAAGUUUGGAAGUGAUGCGUCUUCAGCUAUUAGAAUAAUAGGAAAAGAGAAUUCAAGUUGGAAAGGUGAUUGGUGAAUAGGACAGGCACUUAGCACUGUCAUUUCUUCAGCCUUGAAAUGCUUUUGUUCUGGCCAGCAACCUCAACCAAAAUGAUCAAUUGCGCCUUAAAGUUUAUGUUAAUAGAAGGGCCAAGUCUAAACGUAGGAUCUGGAAUCCUGCGAAUCAACGUCUGAAAUUAAACGUAAAAAAUUAUGAACAAGUAAGGGUAACAUUUAUUAUUAUUAUUAUAAAUAAAUGAAUAAAUAGAAGUGAAACGUAAAAUGUUUAAACCAAAAUUUCUUUGUUUUAGAAGUUUAUGAUUAGGUCUUCUUAAUUGGUUUUAAUUUAAUUCUUAACUUUAAUUUGUUUUAUUAUUGAAUUUCAUUUAAAUUUAUGAAAGUGAGUAUUCUCAUGUGUUAAAACAAGGUUGACUUUAAAAAUCUAUGAACUUUUUAUUUUAUUUCAAUUAAAAUUUAGUUUAAUAAUUUUAAUGCAUUUGAAUAAAUUUAAUUUAUUAUCAUCAAUAGUUGUUUCAUACUAUCACUUUUUCUUUAUAUAUAAUUGUUUAAUUAUUAUUAUUAUUAUUAUAUAUUUUUUCACACUUUAAUAUAUAAGUUAAAAUUAUAGUGAAAUGGUAAGAAGGUUAAAAUAUAAUAAUUGAAAAUGAAUAUUCUUUUUAAUGCCACACAGCCUAGAACACGGGCAUGUGUCUUGGCUGUGUGAAACUUGUACCUAAUUCGAAUUAAAUUAAUUAACCACACGGCCUAGCACACAGGCGUGUGGCAUGGCCGUGUGUGCAAGUCAAAGAGUUACAUGGGGUCAAACACAGCCUCUAACGUGGGCAUGUCCCAGGGUCACACGGGCGUGUGAGCCCUGCACCUUAGAAAAUUUUUUUAAUUUCGCGAAGAAUUCUUUGAGAUCUCGAUUAAGUCCCAAUUCAAUUCUAAUGCUCGUAUUAGACCUCGAGGGUCCAAUUAAGGGAUGUUAUGAAUAAUCUUGGUUAGUGAAUAGUGACUUGCAUGAAUUAAUUGAAAAAUGUUCUGAACAUUUUGGUAAUGCUCUGAUACACUGUUCUGGCGAUGGGUACAGGUUAGGGGUGUUACAUAUUUUAUACGUCUUCUUAUGGUCAUUUGCACACUUACAAAGUUCAUUAGCUCACCCUUUGGCCUCAUUCGGCCCCUAAGUUCAAUAAAAGACUGAAUUUGUGCAUUUUAUUAGAUUUAACAAAGCUUACUAAAACAUAAUAAUAUCUUAAUGAUAAUGCUUAAUUUCAAGCUCCUAAAGUGCGAAAAGUAGUUUAAUCUGCUACACCGAAUUACUGCAGAUCAACUGUAACAUCGCCUCUGUACGAGAAAUAAUUAUUAGCCAAGGGUAUUUUCGUUCGCACAACCAAACAUUAACCACAAGGACAGCAACUAACCUAGGGUUAAGAAUACAACCAACCCAAAGUCUAUAAAUAGGCUCAUUUAGCACAUGUUAGACACAUCUUUCAUAUUGUAUGAUUUUCUCUAUAGAUUUAAUAUUUAGUUUUUCCCUUUUCUUAGGUUUUUAGAUUUCUAUGUUUGUUAUUUAUUUUUGUGGAGAAAUCAGAUUCUGGAAUUACUUUCAAACACUGUGAGGAUUAUGCACUUAAUUUCAAUACAAAUGAGGCUUUUUCUAAACUGUAUUCUUGAAUUGUUCUUUAUGUUCGUUAUUUCCAUCAAGUUUAUAUCAUUUAUUAGAUCCUUGAGGAACUAAUCCUCCUAUGGGGGAUUAGCAAUUGGAGGUAUGAAUAAUUAACAUUUUUGUAGGGAUUUCUUAACGGAUGAGCUAUUUAGGAAAGGAAAAAUCUAAAACCUAGGCCUAACAACCCUACGAAGUCAUCAAGGUCAAAAUUAACCAAAAGUUUGGCCAAUCCAUGAACACCUUGACCCUAAAUCGAUUUGAGCUGUAAGGUUGAAAGAUAAGUAGUUCUUGUCGAUUCAAUAUUUCAGUGGACAAAUUGAAAGAUUCUACUAGGGUAUUGACCAGUUGAUUGAACAAGAAAGCCCAAGACAACAGUUGAUUAUAACUACCAAAGUGAGCUAAUCGUGCAUACCAUAUUUGAUACAUAUUGACUAUUGGAUUUCUCUUUUUUCAUUUAUUUCUUUUCUUAUUAUUUUUAGGAUAGUUUAUCAAAAAUCUUUCUUUUGAUGCUUCAUACUAUAAUCCAAUUAAAAUACUAAUUAGAUCUAUUUAUAUUUAGGUUAAAAUUAAUUUAAUGCUUGCCUCCAUUGAGUAUGAUCCUCGGAGUACUUACCUACUCCGUUGUAACUAUAUUACAACCUCACUUGUAUACUUGCGGAUAUUGCUUUUCACAUCUUUUGUGUAGGAUUUUUACUCUGGACGUUGGUACGUUCGGAGGCGGUCAGUUUGCAAUCAACUACAACUCCGUAUUCAUAUAGCUAAUCCAUACCAAAAAUAAUAUAAAAUUCAGGAAACGAAAAUGCCAUAAGACUAACUGGAAAUUCGCAAUCUUUAAUUUUUUAAAGGGCAACACCUAUAUACUCUAUUUACUCUCUCACUUUUCCUGAAAGAAUUCAUUACUAUAACCUAAUGCUUAAUAAAUUCUAUUGGUAAUUCUUUUUCUUUGACUAAUGCCAUGCAAAUAUACGAAUAUGUGGCACUGGGAUCAAUCAAAUUAAUUACAAAUAAUGAAAAUAAUGAAAAUUUAUUGGUGAUUACAUCAAGUGUUUCUCCUUCCUAUCGAGUCCUGCUAGCGUAUGUGCAAGGUACCCAAUAUUCUGCUUUACAUAUUGUUUCCCUUGUUGACAUUUGACCACUUCCAUUACCAGUAACAAUUCUAGAUUUUUAGCCUCUUUGUUGUCCUAAGCUACCAUUCACUGACUGUUCUAUUGUAUUCUUUGAUAGUUUUGGGGAAUCCCAAAUCAUAUAAUUCUUAGGACCAUAUCAAAAACAAGUUUGAGAAAUCAAUUGAAACUCACCCAAAUGAGGUUUUUAACAGUGGUCGCACAACAUAAUAGAUUUCUUCCUAGAACCUCUAGUACUAGCCACUGAAGUUGUUUGUUGUGUUUGCCUUGACUAACCUCUAAUUUUCUGCUUUUCGAUGGGUGCUAAAUAUCUAGACCCUCUAAAAUAUCUAGUCCUCUUUGAUGACGGUGGUGGCACAAAGCUAGUUGCAACUUGUUUUCCAGAACUUUUCUCUUUCUUUCUACUUAACCCUUCUUCUAUCCUUAGAGUCCGAUAAACUAACAGUAGGAAAUCUUGUAAAUUCAGGGCAAGAAUAGGAACAAAGUGUAACAGCCCGAUUUAGGGCCUAGUCGAAACAGUGGUCUUGGGACCAAAAAUCUAAAGUUAGAAAGACUAUUUUAUUAUUAUUUUGAUGUUCUAGCAUUAAUAUAUUAGUGCAUGAAAAAAAUUGGUAAGUUAAUUUUGACGUUUGUGAGCCCAAUUACGAAAAAUGACCAAAUCGCAUAGUGUAAAAGUCCUAAAUUGAUAGCUAAAGGUGUUAUUUUGUUAGAGAACCAAAAUUUGGGGUCUUUAAUGGGAAAAUAGACCCUUAAUUGAUAGUAUAGCCGGCUAUGAGACAUAGGGGAGACAAUUUUCAAAAUUAGGUGGAAAUUUGGUAGCUAUUUUGACCAAAAAGAAAUAAAAUAGAAAAAGUUGUCAAUUUCUUUUCUUCUCAUCUCUUUCCACUGAAAAUAUCAGCCAUGAAAGGGGGUUUUAAAGCUUAAAUUUUUAGCAACUUGAAGCACUUGCAAGUAAGUGGUUUUGAUAGUUUCUCUUAAUGAUUUUUACAUUUUUUGACUCCUUGAAGCAUAAGCUUUCAAAUGAGGGGUCUAUUUUGCAAAAUGAUUAAAGAGUUUAAGGUUUUUCUAUGAAUGCAUUUGUAGUGUUUGCUGAGUUUUUAUGGAAGAAAAUGAGUCCUAGUUGUGUUAUAAACAACUUUUGUGAGUGGUGCUAGCAUGAAAACACCUAAAGUGACUACUUUGCAUAAAUUGCAAAAUAGGUGAUAAGUGUGUGAAAUAGUGGGGUUUUGGAGUUGUUAUAAGAGUAAAAAGAGUUUGGCUAGGUUGAAAUACGAAGAAAUUUGAUAAAAAUCAAUUUUCGAGUAUAGGGGCAAAAUGGUCAUUUUGCCUAAUACGUGAAUUUUGGAUUGCCUGCUUUUAUUUAGUGACUAAAUGAGUGUAUUUUUCUAAUAGAGAUCAAGAUUUUCCAAAUAUGAACCUAGAUCAAGGGAAAGCCAAGCAAAUCGACUAAACCGACUAGUUGUGUGUAUUUUUGUAAUCCGAGGUAAGUUGUAUAUAAAUAGUACAACUACAUUGCUAAUGUAUGUGUUGAAUUGCAUUUAAAUUUAAUAUAGCAUGAAUUGCUUGAUUGUGGAAUUGAGAAAGUAUGAUGAUAAUAGAGAUAGUAGAGUUCUCGUUGAACGUAAGAAAUAAUCUGGAUAUUCAUGUCGUGACAUUAGGGUCCCUUGUGUGAGCUAGUGUUAGACAUGUCUGGGACAUGCAUCGGCCACAUUAUAAGAGCCAAUGUAAGACCAUGUUCAAGACAUGGCAUCAGCAUUGAGAAAAUGACUAGUGUAAGACAUGUCUAGGACAUGCAUUGGGCUCGAGACGUAAGCCAGUGUAAGACAUGUUUGGGACAUGCAUCAGCUACGAGAUGAUAGUCAGUAUAAGACCAUGUCUGGGAAAUGGCAUCAACUUGAGAUAUGAACUAGUGUAAGACCAUGUCUGGGACAUGGCAUUGGCACCUUACCCAUGUUUGAGGCUUAAUGAAUACCCGGUGAUAUUCCGAAUGGUUCAACGAUGAAUGUUAAGUGCUUGGGCUAAUGAAGAAAGUAUAAUCAUGUUGUGAAUGGUACAUGUAUCUAAUUGGUACGUAUGAAAUAUGAGCUGAAUAUAUAAAAUGUGACUUGUAUGGAUGGUAGUAAGUUACAACUAUGCCUACUUUGAUGUUGUGAGCAUGUUGAUUAUGAAUAAAUGUUGUGGUAUACUUAUUUAUAUGAGACUUACUAAGCUUUAUGCUUACUCCCUUUCCUUUCCCUUUUCUUUCACUACCGCCUAACUGGCUCAAGGAUCACUGGAAGUCAGAGAUAUCGAUCACACUAUCAGCCGAAAUAUUUGGAAUAGUUGGAUUUAUAUUUUUGAAUAUGGCAUGUAUAGGAUUAGAACUUAUUAUUUUAAGUCUUGGAGAAUUGGCCAAAUGUGUUGGCUUGGGAUAGAUCCCACACUUAGUAUUAAGCCAUGAAUGAUGGCUAAUAUUUAUUUUGAGUUUAUAAAAGUUGCAUUUGCAUGGUUGAAUGAACGUCUAUUGUAGCUAAAUUGAUUUCGGGAAAUUAUGCUUGUUUUGGUAUUGGCUGGUAUUUGCAUGAAAAGAGGUAUGCAAGGGUGGCAAUGAGGUUCGAUAAAUAGCCUUAUAUUGUCCACAUGGGUAGACAUACGGGCAUGUGUCUAGGUCGUGUGUGACACACGGUCAACCCUAUGGCCGUAUGGUCCGGCCGUGUGACCCCUGCACGUAAAAAUUUCAAGUUAGUAUGCAUGAAAAUAAACACACGGGCAGAGACACGGUCGUGUGUCUCAGCCGUGUGGAGGCCACAGCCUAGUACACAGGUGUGUGCCAUGGCCGUGUGACAUUUUAGGGAUGCUGACGUCAGAAAUAGAAUACCCAUGUUUUUACACACGGGUUAAGACACGGGCGUGUCGUGGCCGUGUGAGGGACACAGGCCAUUGACACGGGCAUGUGUUUGGUCGUGUGAAAACCCUGUAGGUGUGAAUUAGAAUUUAAUUCGACACGGGUGUGGGACAUGGGCAUGUUCCAGGGUGCUUAGGUCAUGUGAGCCACACGGACCAUCAGUACGACCAUGUUGAAUUGGUCACACGGGCUUGUUACCCUUCCACAUAGGCGUGUGCCCUAUUUUAAGACAAAUUUCUUAAGGUUGGUUUAAGGACCCGGAAUGGUUCCGAAUAGUUUUUAACAGUCGAUUUGGGGCUCAUAGGCCCAUAGUAAGAAGUUUAAAGUAGAAAUUGAAAAAGUUUUAAUUUGGACCAAGUCUCGGUGACUUGAGACUGUUUGUAUGCAUGAGAUAAAGUUAGGUAAUGCCUCGUACUCUGACCCGGCGUGGGUUACGGGUAUAGGGUGUUACACAAAUAUUUCUUCAUUCAACCCAUACUCAAAUCGUUGGCACAUAUCUGCCACUGUAGCAACUAUUUCUCUAGCAUAUGUACUUAACUUGACAAAUUCUCUCUCAUAUUCUACCAUUGCCAUAUUGUUUUGUUUUAAAUCUAGAAAUUCAUGUUUCUUCUGCUCUAGGUAAAGCUAUCCUACAUACUCCUCUAUAUAUUGUAGUUCUUCGAAUACUCUCUAACUAUUUUUUAACAAUUCCUCAACUUCAGCAAGAUCACCAUCUUUUUUUCCUUUAAACUCCUCUGCUCUAUACUUUCUAAAAUACUCUAGAGGAGAUCGAUGGCUGAGGUGUAGGAAAAUAGGAGGGGUGGUGGUAGAACAUUGUUUGUUCUCACGAGUUUUUGUAACAACUGAUUCAUCGAUUGUAAAAUAGCUACGGUAAUUGAAACUUCUUCUUUCAGAAGAUUGCUUUUGUUCUUCUCUAGCCAACCCUAGAUUUACAGGGUCACCUAGCUCAUCUUGCACUUGAGGCUAGGUCAAUUCCUUUCUCUUUCCAUAUUUGACACCCUACUUUUAAGCUCAUCUUUCAAACCUUCUUGAGAUCUAUACGACAUCUUCAGAUUUCUCUAUAAUUCAUAAAUUCAUAAUUAACUAAACAUAAUCUCAUCACAUCAAUAUAUCUUAUAUGGCAUGUACAUCUAGACUCGUUCUCGACUUAAAUAUCAAAUAACCUAAGCUCUAAUACCACUAAAAGUAACGCCCAUAUACUCGACCCGGUUAUUGAACCAAGUAUAGAAGUACUACAUUGCAAAUCAAAAUGGUCAACUUAAUGUUUCAUUUAUAAAAACUUAAUUGUUACAAGUUACUCAGCUUAAAAUUACAUUAUUAAUAUUAAUUGCGAAAUCGAUAAAUAUAUCUUAGGUCAUCAUUGCAUUUACAACAACAUUUUGGGGUCAAAAAUAAAAUUUGGAGAAAUGCAGGGCACACGACCAUGUUCCCACGCCGUGUAUGUCUCUGAGGCCAUGUGGUUUAUUUAAACACUACCUCCAAUAAUCACACGGUCGUGUGUAUGACCCAUGUGAGCCACAAGGUCCUGUCCAUAGCUUGUGUAACAAACUAGAACUGUGUGGUUCUAAGAACAACUUUUCCCAUAAGAUACACGGUCGUGCCACUAGCACGUGUAUACCACACGAUCGUAUGGUUAGACUAUGUAACUUUCGAAAGCUGUGUCCCCUAUAGUUUGAAAUAUUUGAAAACUUCUAAAAAAAAUUCUUAUAACUUAUUCCCUACAAGAAAACUCAAUUUUCAUUCCAAUCAUAAUUCCAAUUUUAGUAUAAAAGACACUCUAAAACUUUUAGAUUAUCAUACAACAUUAAUAUACUAAGAUUUCAUUUAAAUCCUUCAAAAAUUAAAAGGUUUGUAACAUAGACCAUCAUACUUAAAUCCUUAACUUAAAAACCUAUGUACAUGUCUCUCUAACCCAAAAUUUAGAAGUCAUACUCUUUUUGGCGUUAGGAUGUAAUGAGACGAGCAAGUCUUAGACCACUUUCUAGCUUCUCCUCUCGUCUUUAACCUACGCAUUAAGCUAAAAUAGCUUAGUAAGUACUGCAAGAAUUUAAUCAUAAACCUACAUAUUAUAUUGUAAUUAAUAUGAGUAAUUUUCUAUAAUUUUAAUCACCCUCGAUUAAAUUAUACUUACCAAUUCACGUUUGACAUUUAUUGCCUAAAGUGGAAUGAUUAGAAUAAUUAGGACAUAUGGAAAGGAACUGAACAUCGCCAUCACGAAUAAACACCGCCAAAGCGGAUAACUGAGCACCGCUGAAGCAAAUAAACAAUAAGUGCGCAAUAUAUUCCUUAAUGGCAUGGCAUCAAUAUCCUAAUAAUUCACAUCCUUCUACUUGGCCGUGAUAUCAAUUAUGCAAAUUUUUAAUUUAGUCAUUGAUCUUAUAAUUUCACAUAUAACUUCCAUUUCAUUUAACAUCUUUACCCCACACACAAUAAUCUCUUUAUUCUUAUUCACAUUUUUAUACCAUAGUUUACCAUCUUUAUAAUUUAGUCAUUUACAUUGCUACUACAGAUAAAACUAAGAUUUAAACAUUUAAUUGGUAAUUUCUAUUAUAGAUAUCUAAAAAAAAUGAAAUUAAAUCCUUGUAGUACUUACAACCAAGGUUUGUUUAAUGAUUCUUCUUACUUCUUCAUUCAUUGGCUACACCUUUUUCUUUUUCUACAAUUUGGUCUUCUUCUUUCUUCUCUUUUUCUUCAUUUCCAUAACCAGUACAUAGCAUUUACUAGUUAAAAUAAUGUUUAGAUAACAUAUUUAUGCUCAAAAGUAAAAAUAAUAUGAACUUCAUAAAGAUUUUCCUAUCUCUUAUCGUGAUUUCAUGAUGUCACAAUUAACCCUAACUUUUCUCUUUCCUUUCAAGUAAUUAUCAACUCCUUUUUCAUGAAGCUAAAGUAUCUACCUUGCUCUACUCUUGAUUUGUUUGAGAAAUCAUGAAAUAAAAAUGAAGAAACAAGCUUGAAGGACACAAAAAUGGCGAAAAUGACUUAGAUGGAAUAAGAGUGAAAGUUUGGUUUUGAGAGAAAAAGGAAGUGACGGGUGGGUUAGAAGAAAAAGAUGAAGACUUUCUCCUCUUUUCUUCUUUCUUCUACAAUCUUCAUAAUAAAAAUAUCAUGAUUUUUACGAAAAAUGGCUAAAUUGUCCUUCAUCCUAUCAUCUGUACACUUUGGGCCAAAUCAUUAUCCAUAAAUAUCUUACUUUGCUAAUUACUAUUUUAACCUUUAUCAUCUUUACAAUUCCCAUGCAGGAAUCACAUUUUAUUUCGUAAAAUUUCUUUCUAAUCCUUCCUUGUUUUCCAUCUACUCUAUGUUAUUAACUUAACUUUUAAUUUUUACACUUUUGCCUCACUAUUUUUCAUUUUCCUGCAUUUUAGUCAUUACCUCAAAUCAAACUUUCCUAUCCCAAAAAUAUUUCUAAUUUCUAUUAGCUCUAACUACUUUCUAUACUUUUACCCUACAAUUCCUAUUUAAUCUAUUUCUAAAAAGUUUUUAAUUUUCCUAACGUGACACGCCAUUUAACCACACCCUCUAUACUUUGAUGAUGUUAUAUUUCUCCCCCUUUUAAAUAAAAAAUUUCAUCCUCAAAAUUUCACUUGAUUCAAACAGCUGUGGAUACUGCUACUUUUUUUUUUCUCAUAUAGCUUCUUCAACAUUAUAGUGCCUCCGCAACACUUUUACCUAGGGAACCGUUUAUUUUUUAAUUUUUCUACAUUCAUGUGGCUAGGAAUGGGUGCUAUAAGUUGGCACUUAUGCCUUUUAUUCCUCAAUUUGCAAGAAAUAUAUGAAUUUUAAGUAAAAGAAAAUGACAGUAAUAUGAAAACAACUAUAUGGCUUUUCGUUGUAGUGUCCGAUUAUUGGUUGGUCAUUUAUUUAUAUAUAUACACAUAUAAAUGCAUAUAUCACAAUUUUAAUGUGAAGCAAAAUUUUUAAAAAUAAAAUGUGAUUUGUGUGGAGAUUUCUGUAUCAAGAUAGAAUGUUAAUGCUAAAAUUUAAAAAUUGAAUUUAGAUUAGAGUUUUAAUUUUUAAAUUGACUUAAUAUAACUUUAUAAGUUGAAGUUUAUGAAUUAAAUUAUUAAACACUAUAAAUGUAAGUUUAAAUUAAAAUGAAUGAUUGAAUUGAUAAAAUUAAAAAGUAGAUUAACUGUUUUGACAACAUAAUGGCAUCACAUAUUUAGAUUCAAUCAUCAAUGGAAUCAGGUGUGGAGUGGGGUGUUAAUGGAAAUCUGGUUGGCUCAUGUUAACCAAAUGUAAAGAUAUCAUUUAAUAAUUUAGAUGGUAAUUUUCUGUCAUCAGUCACCCGAAUCGUAAGUGCAUAUAUAUAUAUAUAUAUAUAUAUAAAGGAAGUCCCAAGGGACCUCCUUUGUUGACAUACAGGCGCAUUAAUAUUAGUAUUUUUUUUAAAAUCACAAAAAAUAAGUUGAUUGAGUUUUAGUUCGAUUGAUAAGGGUAUUAUUGUCAAUACAGAAGGAUAUUAAUUUGAGUGUGUUGAAACGUAUUAUCUUUUUAUUUAUGGGUUGGGGAGAGAAUAUGAAUAAUUUUAGGCAUUGUAUCAAAAAGAGCACAUAUAAUAUUUUUAUUUUAACUUUUAACAUAAUUUGAUUUUAAUAUUUUUAUAAUGUUAUUAAUUAGUCUAAAUAGUUAAUAUAGUUAAUUUUUUAUUGAAAUAUUACAUAGUUAUAUAAUCACAAUCUAUAAUGAGAUUGUUAAAAAAGAUAAUAAAAAAUAGUUAAAUUUCACUUUGGUCCCUCUAUUAUGUCUAAAGUAAAAUUUAAUAUUUUUUAUUUUAAUUUUUAACAUAAUUUGAUUUUAAUAUUUUUAUAAUGUUAUUAAUUAGUCUAAUAGUUAAUAUCAUUAUUUUUUAUUAAAAUAUUACAUAAUUAUAUAUAAGAGUAAUUUUUUUAUUAUAUUUUUAUAUUUAUAUAAAAUUAUGGAUUCAAUUCUAUCAUAAGUACCAAGACAACAUGAACUUCCCAGAGGAUUAAAGCAUCACAACAAUUUGACAGCAAAAAAAAAAACAAAAAAAUAGCAGCACAGCAAUUGAGCCUUUAGCAACCAAAACUUUAGGGAGAUAUUAAGACCUAAUCCUGGGGUUCAACUUCAAAUGCAAGCAUUCUAAAUGAUGGGGUUUCCAAAAUUCUAUUAGUUCCUUGAAACAGAACCAAGGAAAGUCAGCUUCGACGAGCUCUUCAUAUAAUAAUAUUAGCUCUUGGGUCUAUAUUCACCCUUAGCAGAAAUGAGCUGGUUGCUCCAAAACUUGCACCACCACCCUCAACUGCUAUGAGUAGAGGAAGAGAGAUGGACCCAUGCCAAGCCAUCAUCUGAGUGGCAUCCUCUUUUGGAUUUUCUUUGAUACUUGGGGUUUGCUUCUACUAGAAUGAGUUCUUCUCUUUUCUUUUUCGUUUUCUCUUUUAAUAUGAUUUGAUAGAGCUGUCAUCCCCUUUUGUAUAGAGCUCUGCCAGAUCCCUAAAAGUAAAUUUAUACAUCUAUGGAUGACAAUCAUAUGGCCAUUACGGAUGGCAUUGUUUGCUAUAUAUCAUAGUUUUGAUAUGGGUUUGUUUGUAGCUUUAUCAUUGUAAUAGGGAUUACAUGUAAAAGGUGUGUUAUCUCAAUUAGUAUUUGCUUGUGCAGUGCUGUACACUGUAAUUGUUCGAGAUCACCUCAACUUUUGCAAUAAGAAAUAAAAAUAAAUCUGAAUUAUAAAGUAUAUAUAUUAUAUAAAAAUAUUGAAUUAUAAAAAAUUAUAAAAUGAAUUAAGUUAAAACAUACAAUACUAAAUAGUUUUUAGAAUUCUAUUUUAUAUUAGCGGUGUAACAAUAGUUUUUAAAUUUUAUUCUUUUAGGCUGCACGUUAAUGAUGUUUGGAGGAAAUAAAGAUUAUUGAUACAUUUUAAUGUUUUCGAUUUAAGCAUCAUAUACCUUAUUUUGUGUUAGGUGGUGCUCUUCUCAAUUUUUAAAUUUUAAUUUUAUUUUUGUAUUUAAUAUUUUUAUCAAAUUUUUAAAAUUUUUAUGUGUGUGGAGUCUAUCUCCAUCCUAAAACUUUAAACAUGUUAUUUCUUUAUCUGCGUGGGUUCACUCUCCUCGAGUUUUUAAAUUUAAUUAAUAUCAUUUUAUCAAUUUUUAAAUAUUUUUGUUUAUGUGCUUUUCAUUACUUCAUUUACUGCAUGGGUCACUUUCACCUUAAUUUAAUAUUUUUUAAUGAGUAUCUUUGAUUUUUAUUAAAUUAUUAGAUUUCGUUAUGUAUUUAAUAAAUAGUUUUAAUAUAAUAUUUUUCAUUUAUAUUUGGAUAAAAAAGAAUUUAAAGAAAAAUCUUUUUAUUUCUUUAAAUGAAAAAUGUAACUUUCUUAAUUCGUCCUAGAUGUUAAGCUCGAAUUCGAGAGAUUACAUUGGCCACUAAAAUGACCCAGUAGACUAUCGAAGUUUAUAAACAAUCAUUUUAAAACAAUCGCUUAUUUUAGAAGAAAACUUAGUUUAUUUUCAGAAAAAACUCAUGAGUUAACAAAAAACUAAUUAAGCAAAACUUUUUCCUUGUAAUGAUGACUACUUUUGAAAAAUUAGUUGAUUUUCAAUUUAUUUAUUCCUCCAAAAUAUAUAUUUUUAAAUUUAGCAGCGAAAAAGUGAUAUUCAACUUAGUAUUGAUUAAGCAAAAUCAGAAUUAUUCUAUGCAUAUUUGUAGUGCCCCAAACUUGGCUGGGACGAUCCAACCUAAAUUUCAAACGCCAUAUUAGCUACCGAAGUGACUCUUUGUUAAAACGCCAUGAAGCAUACCAACCAACCAUGCACACCACACAUUUGCAACAUAAAUGAAUUUUUUUUAAAAAAAGUCCUAAUUGCAUGCCUUUCUAAACAAACCAUAAGAAACAAGCACAAAAAUUUUAAAUUUUAGACCCCUGCGAACCCACCUCACGGCGAACCCUUAUCUAGAAUCCUAGCAACAUGCAGAUGCCUAGUGAGCACAGCUUACGACCUACCCGCGAACCCAGCUCAACUUGCCCAGCGAACCACUAGUUUGCUACUAUGCUCCUGAAACUGGCAAACUCAAUCACACCUUUUCAUAUGUAUUUCUAGAUUGCGUGAAUGGGAGAAACACUAACGAACUCCUAACUUUGGCAUGCCCCCUCAUUCUCGCGAACCUAAGAUUUCUGGUGAACAAACCUAUACUGGCAGACUCCCUUAUUUGGUGAACACUCUACAAGUGAACACCCCUAUGGCAAGCUCAUAAUUUAUGGCAAACACACUGGUUAUGAUGAACCCCCUUGUAACACCCCUAACCCGUAUCCGUUGUCGAAAUAGGGUUACGAGGCAUUACCGAAUAAUACACCUCAUUCACAUACAUUUAUGCAUUCAUUAACAUAAACCGUUUUCAAACAUUCCCAUUGUCCCUUAUCAGGCUCUACGAGACCUUAUAACAUGCUUAAAAGUGGUUCGGGACUAAACUAAGAACAUUUGCAAAUUUUGAGAAACUUAAAAAUUUUUCCAACAUUAAAGGGUCACACGCCCGUGUGAACAGGCCGUGUGUCUCACACGACUACUGGACACGCCCGUGGCGCAUGUGAAAAUAGGGCAUACAUACUGACAUUUACCACACGGUUGGAGACACGCCCGUGUGCCAUGGCCGUAGGAAAACUAAGGAGGUUACUGACUUGGGUCACACGACCGGCCACACGCCCAUGUGCCAGCCGUGUGUAUCACAUUGCCAGUAGACACACCCAUGUGUCUAGGCCGUGUCAAACCUGUAGGAUAUACUGCCUUAAUUCGAAAGGGUACCCCAAGGAACACACAGUCGUGUCACAUAACCGUGUGUCACACACAGCUAAGACACACACCCAUGUCUCUGCCCAUGUGAACAAAAAUAGGUCAUUUGCAAAGCCAAUUUGCCACCCUUUUCUCAUGCUCACCUAACCAUCAAAAUGAUAUCAUUUUAUCACAUAUAUAGGCAGCCAAAACAUACCAAUUCAGACACAUAUCAUGCCAUCUAUUCUCAACUAUUUCAAUUACUCAAUUCCCUAAUUAAAAACAUACCAUUUAGCUAUAACUACAACUAAUCAUACAUAUCCAAAACAAGCCAAAAUCUAAGGUAUUAUACACAUCACAUAAAUCACCUUUCAAACACAUUACUUAGGCCAACUUAAAUGACCCAAUACAUACCAACAUUUUCAACCAAAAGUAAACCAAAUCUCAUAGCUUAAGUCAUAAUUCAAAACAUAUCAUCAACUCACUAGUCUAUACAUGCCAUAUACCAUAUUUACAAGCAUCCAAAAAUACCAACAAGUAGUCGAAGUGCGAUAAUGGUUCUCGAUGAUCCCCGAUGUUCGAGCUAGCUUUGAUAAUAUCUAAAACAUGGAAAGAACAAGUAAGUAAGCUUUAAAAGCUUAGUAAGCUCGUACAAAAUAUACUCAAUAGUUUAUAAUAUAUCAAUCAUCAAUUUGAACUAAUUCAUAUAUAAAUCAUGAUGACCAAUAAACUUUUCUCUUACUUACUCAAGUGUUUAUAAACUAGUUCAUUACUUCUUCCAUUUGGAUUUCAUGCUUUAUAUGUACAUACCUGUACAAAUUCAUAUCGAGCUCAUACCUUUUACACGAUACUGGUGAAUACUCGAUAUCUCACACACUAAGUGCCUUUUAUAAUCGAAGCUUUCUCAACCUCGCACACUAAGUGCCAUAUAUAGCUGAAUCUAUUCUAACUCGCACACUAAGUGCUUUAUAUAGCUGAAGCUAUCUCGAAACGCACACUAAAUGCCAAACAUAGUCGAUUUUUUGUCGUACGGAAUUGUAGUCGCAUAUAUACAAUUUAUGCAAUAUUAAAGCAUUAAAGACAUAAUUGUAACAAUGUCUAUCAUGUACAAACUUACCUCGUACUUAGAAUUGUUGAAUUGGAUCGAUUAUUCGAUAACCUUCGAUUUUCCCGAAUCUAAAUCUGAAUUCUUUCUUUCUUGAUCUAUAUGUAUUCAAAAUUAACCCAUUUAAUCAUAAAUUCAUUCAAUUUAAUCCCGAAACACAUAAUUUUAGCCAAUUUGCACUUUGGCCCUAAACUUUUACAUUUUAACAAUUUAGUCCCUAUUUCAUAAAACACAAAUUACUCAAAAUUCAAUAAGACUCAUGCUUGGCCGAAUUCUCUAUAGGUCCCUAGUAGCCCAUAUUUUUCAUUUAUUUCACAAUUUAAUCCCUAAUAUACUUUUUUACCAAAAUCACUUUACAAAACAUGUAUAUCAAACACCAAGCAUUCAUAAUUCAUCAACAAACAUCAUAAAACUCAUGGAUUCAUCAAUCUCAGCUUUCAAAAUCAUCAACACUUUCAAAAAUUGAGGCAUGGGCUAGCUAGUACCCAAAGCAACAAUCGCAAAAACGUAAAAAUCAUUAAAAACUGAGCUCAAAGCACUUAGCAAUUGAAGCUCACAAGUGUCGAACCCUAAGGGAGCAUGAAAGCUUUAUUUUUCUUCUUCAAAUUCAGCUAGGAUGAAGAAAUAAAGAUGAUAUGGCUUUUGUUUUAAUUAUUAUACAUUAAUAACCAAUUUACUAUUUUAACCUUGGUUAUUAAACCAUUCAAUCAUCAAAUAUAUGCCCAUUUAUGUCCAUUCCCACUAUCAAUGGUCUAAUAUCAAAUAAGGACCUUUCAUUUAAUGUCUCAUAACAAUUAAGCACUUUUAAGUUAUAGAACACAACUUUUGCAUUUUACGCGAUUUAGUCUUUUAGUCAAAUUAACCACUUAAACGAUACAAUUAUCACACGAAACUUUCACACAUAUAUAAUCACAUAAUGUAAACACAAAAAAUAAUACUAAAAUAAUUUUAUGACUUCGAAUUUGUGGUUCAAAAACCACUGUUUCGAUUUAGCUAAAAUCGGGCUAUUACACCCCUAUUAUUCAAAGAGCCCCUCUCUUGGCGAAUAAUGACACUAGCGAUCCAUUUAGGUUGGUGAACUCACUUAUAAUGGCAUACACUAUGUUUUGGUGAACCCUAUUAACACUGGCGAGACCCUAUACUUGUGACCUCCUAGCUCGCACUACACUUAGUUGGCUCGCAUGUUUUAUUCAAUCAUGUUUUUAUAUUUGUUUCAAGCAUUCUAAGUCAUUAAUUUGCUAAAACAUACAUAAAGUGUAAGGGCAUACCUUAGUACUUGGUGAGCUCCUUAACCUACAUAAGCUUGUUAGCUCUUCAAUUUAAUAACAACCAACAAGUAUAAACUCUAAUUAAUCAAGCACUUAUCAAGCAAUUAUAAAGUCCAAAACCCAAAAUUUAACAUUCUGUAAUGUUCGUUUACAACCCGUCAAAAUUUAUUUAAAAGUCUAACACUAAUUCUAAUCCCAUAGGACAGUCCCACAUUGCCUUCCACUUUAGGGUUUUAAAACAUGUCACAUACUCGGAGGGAUUUGCCUUGAAAUGGAUCACUGGGUUGCCACACUUCAGCACUAAUCUGUAAGCUACUUAUCUGCAAGGUAUAUGCAAGGAGUGUGAGCUUAUUGAAGCUCAGUGAGGGCUCAAGCAUAAAUCACAUAUAAAUACAUCAAUCAUGCUAGAAGAUAAACGUGCUUUAUUAGAUCCCAAAAAUUGGAGGUUAGUAGAAUCAAGUUUGUGAAUUGAGAGAGUGUGGUCAUACCCUAAUUUUUUAGAUUAUUUGUGCAUUUUUAGGAAAUAAAUGAGUUACUAGUCUGUUGGUUAAGUUUUAGUGAAACUAUCCUUGAAACCCAAGUUCAAAUCCCUUUCUCUUGCACCAUUUUUAUUAUUUUGCAAAUUUUGCAUCAAACCCUAGUAUGUGACACGCCUUUUUUUUAAAAUAAAUAUUGAAAAAUUAUUUCAAGAAUGAGAAAAUAGCCCAGUAGUUAAAAGAAAUAUGAGAAGGCAUGAAAAUUAGAUUAAGGUCUCAAAUUUGAUUCUUUUCCCUUACAAAAUAGCUUAAUCGUGGCUAAAAUUUAUCCUCCUUAUUUUGUGCCGCCCAAGCCUUGAACCUAGGUAUAAAUACAAAUUUUUAUUUUAUUUUUCAGCAUUCAAGUCAAAUUUUACGUACCCUAGCCAUUCACCCUCUUCCUCUUCUCUUUUCUCUUUCUUCCUUUAUGUGCCGCCGCUCUAGCCACAAAGAUUCAACAUCAAUUUUUCUUCUUUUAUGCAACAGGUUCUUGUACCAUUCCUUUCCUCUUCUUGCUUUCGUUUUAUCAGAAAACUUUCAGCCUUGAAUAUGAAAUUUUAGCACUCAAGAUCAACCUCCAUUGAUGCCUCAAAAGAACUCCAUUGCCACCCCUAUAUUAUUGCUUGAGUAGGUGUCAUUUUCUUUUGUUUUCCUUGAUGAAUCUUUCAAUCAAAUACUUAAUUUUCUAGAUCUGGAAUUGGGGUGAUUUUUAAAUAUUUAAUGGGUAUUUUUCCAGCCAUUAAAUUUAUUUCAAUUGUGAUUUUAAAUCAACCCUGAUUUCGCCACCAUUGGUGGUGGUUCGCCGUGCUUAGAUGCACAGAAGGGGGCUAUUAUUUCUUAAUUUUUUCUCAUCUAUUUCUAGAAAUAUCUUGGGUUCUUGAACCCUUCCUAAUCAGCCUUUAAUAAUGUGAAAUAAUGAAAAAAAUCAAUCUUGAUCCAUUGGCGACUCAGUUCUGACAACUGAGGAAGCAUAACUGUGGUUGAUUAUGGACUAGCAUGUAGUUUCGGUUUAGAUGUUGGGGAAAUUGUUAAUUGAUCAAAUUAAAGAUUUUAGUCAUGGAUUAGAUACUAAUUUUUCAGUAUUUAAAUGUGUUAGGUUCUGACUUAAACGCCCCAAAUAAAUAGUGAAGCCGUUAGACGUUCACGCGUAUGAUUUGCAUCAAAUCAGUGUAAGAAACUUAACUAGUUUUGUAACUGUGACACCCCUAAUGUGACCCUAGUCGGAAAGUGGUUUCGGGACCACAAAACCGAGUCAUAAAAAUAAUUAACCAUCAUACUUAAUGCUUAUUAUAUGUAUAUAUGCAUGUGUGAAAAUUGCAUGUUUGAAUUUUGUUAAUUGAAAGUGAAUUUUAUUAAAUAGGACUUAUGUGUGACACUUUUGAAAUGUGAUAGGUUAAUCUAUAAGGAUCUAUUAAUGCAUGUUAGGAAAUGCUUGUACUUGCAUGUCAAAUUACCCAAAAUGUUAGGUAGUGGCCGGCCAUGCUAUGGGUUAAAACAUAUUAUAAACAUUUUGUGUUAAAAUGUUGUGUGAGAAAUAAUAAAAUACUAGUUAAUGGGAGGAGAAACCAAAGUUGUCUCACCCUUGCUCCUCCAUUGCCGUGACUUGAGGGAGGAAGAAGAAAGUUGGGUUGCUUUAAUUUUUGGCUUAGAAGAUGGCUAGAAGGAGGAAAAACUAUGAUUUUAGCUAGUUAGGUAGCUGAAAUUUCAAGUAACUCGGUAAUCCAUCGAAGAAGAAGAAGAGGGCUGCAACAAAAAGAAAAAUGGAGACAGUUUGCAUGUUGAAGAAAACUAAGGAUUUAGCUUGUUUAAGAGUUGUAUCCUAAGUUGAUAAGCUUUCUAAGCUCCCCUCUAUCUUUAACUUUGUUGUAAAGAAAAAUGAUGAUGGAUUGUGGUUGGAAGGCAUGAAUGCGGGUUGUAGAAAAGAAAAACUCUUUGAUUAGUUGUAAAAAUUACUACUGUCCAAUUUUGUGCCUUCGUUAUGCUGUCCAAAAUUUGAACAAAUUAAUGGUUCUAUUUUCAUGCCGAUUAGGGGUUGAUAAAUUGAGUCUAAUAGCUAAAAUAUUAUGUUAUUCUUACUAAGUUUCAGUUGUUAGUAGUGACGUAACAAUUUGACAAUUAAAUGCAUAAAUGACUGCUGGAAACUGCAGCUUGAAAACAAAUUGUUCCAGCAUGUAAAUGCUGAUUUGAAUGUGCUGUAAUAUGUGGAGGAAUUGGUCUGCUGCAUGUUUGAAAUAAAAGAAAACAAUGGUUGUUAAAUAUUAGUUUUUGUUGCUAAUCGAAUGGGUUUAAUUCAUUGUUCAAGGGGCUAUAAAUUGGUGUUAAUUAAGCUAUUCGGAUGGUCUAAUAAAACAGCCUGAAUGUUAAAUAAUGCUUGCUGUCCAGAUUGAAAUUAUGCUAGAAGGUUGAACAAUUGUUGUUCAAAUGGAAUUUUGGAGUGUUUAAUGGACUCCAUGUUGCUAAAAUUUACAUGAAUAGAAAUUUCUAAGCUUAAAUUGUAAGAAUUUGAGUUGCGUGGUUUAAAUUGUCAAAGAUGCAUUUGGCAAUUGAUUAUAAUUUGUUAAAGGGUGUAAAGUAUUGAUAGUUCUAAAUGGUACAUAGUUAAAUGAAGAUGGAAGCUUGAUAAACUUUUAUUUAGAAUGGAAGUAGGAGAAAUGUGUAUUCGGCCAUGUUGUGAUGAGUUGAAUUUGAAUGGUUGAUGCCUUAGUUUAUAAAUGGUCAUUAGAUGAGUUUUAAACUUGUUAAAGUUUGAUAAUUUGGGGGUGUUAAGUUGGGGAAAACGUGUAAUAAAAAUGGGUUGAUAAUGUUUGUUUGUUAAUUGAUGUUUGCACCUUAAAUAGUUGAAAUAAAGCUUGCCGAUUAUGAUUAAAUGUUUAAAUUGUAAUGGUUAUAUAUAGGUAUAUAUAUAUGCCUUAUGUAUGUACCAUGUACACAUAAGGACAUUCGGCAAUAUGAUUAAAUUCAUGUAUAAGGAAGCAUGAUAAAUUAAGUGACUCCUUGCUUGUGAAUGUGAAUUAGAUAUAAAUUAAAUAAGCAUGAAAUCGAGUCAUGGCAUGUAACACCCCUAUCCCGUAACCGUCGCCGGAGUCGGACACGAGGGGUUCACAGACUAAAUUCGCUUACUAUCGCAGUCCAUUUUAAAAUUUUCCAGGCAGUUGGCUAACUACGACACUGUCACCUUAAAAAUCAUAUCUUGAGUUUCACAACUCGAAAAUCAGUUUUGUAAUUUUUCCCUGAAACUAGACUCAUAUUACCAUCUACAUAUUUUUUUCUAGAAUUUUUGGUCAGGCCAAUUAGUAUAGUUUAUUAGUCAAAGUCUCCCAUGUUACAGGGAUCGACUACACUAACCUUUGCGCAUUACGACUUGGAUAUCUCCCUAGACAGAGCUUCAAUACUGAUGCCGUUUGUUUCUAUAGAAACUAGACUCAGAGAGGAAUCUAUACAUAUAUGGCAUGACUCCUAAUUAUCUCUGGUUAAUUUAUAAUGAAUUUCCAAAGUCGGAACAGGGAAUCCAGAAACCGUACUGUCCAUAUGAUCGUUUCGUUACUUUCCUAUGAAAAUAGAUUCAUCAAGGUUCAUUUACAUAAUUUAUUCAUUAUUUAAUUCCAAUCCUACUAUUUUUGUGAUUUUCUAAAUCUACAUCACUGCUGCUGCCAGCAUCUACCUUUAAGGUAGACUUUACCUAUUUCAUAGUUUCCAUGAUUCAACUAGCCCUUUUAGCAUAAAUAGCACAAAUUAUGAUAGUGAUUAACCAUUCCAUACCAAAUGGUUAUAACAUUAUGCUCAAACAUAUAUAAGCCAUUUUCGCAUGGCUAUAUACAUUAACCAAAAUAUUCUUCUGCCACUAGUCUAUUUUAUACAUGCCAUAAGAUAAUCCAAAACAUAGCAGUACCAAACAGUGGAUAGUGAUAGUGUGACUAGUUGCUGACGAUCCCCGAGCCUGUAGCUUCGCAAUGAGAUCUAUAAAACAGAGGAAACAGAGUAAACGGAGUAAGCAUUACAAUGCUUAGUAAGUUUUAAGCAGUGUCAACAGAUAACAAUCAAAUUAUAACAUAGUUGUUCGUAUUUUUAUUUCACUCUUCCUUCGGGCAUACCAUCCCUUUACCGAAUAUGCACAUCUCAUCAUAUACAAUAGGCAGAUAAACUUUCACAUAAAAGUGAGCUCAUGUGACAUAGAUAUAUCGUAUGAUUUCACAUCACCUCUCACACUGAUCCGAUGUCACAUAAUCAUAGGAAUAGUCUCAUAGAUUGCUCUCGUAUGCAUCACAUAACUACCUUAUGAUUUAGUGCAAAUCAAGCUCACAUAUAAACUUGGAGUACAUACCUGUUUAACCAUUCGCAUUGAAUAUAUUUAUAAGCAAUUCUUAUUACGAAGUCUUACCCGGACAUAAUCUCCACACGAAGUUAUCGGGUCUUACCCGGACAAAAUUCUCACACGUAGUCAUCGGGUCUUUAGAGCUCGGAUAUAGUACGAGCACGAAGCUUACGGACAUUAAUCAGUGAUAAUAUUCUCGCAUAAAGCCUGCGGGGUUUUAACUCGGAUAUAGUACUGACACAAAUGCCCUUCGGGACUUAUCACAUUUAUACACUUUCACAUCCAUCACGUUGGCCACUCGGCCCUGUCACAUAUAUACACUUUCACAUUCAUCACAUCGGCCAUUAGGCCUUAUCACAUAUAUACACUUUCACAUUCAUCACAUCGGCCAUUAGGCCUUAUCACAUAUACAUCGGCCAUUAGGCCUUAUCACAUAUAUACACUUUCACAUUCAUCACAUCGAAUCCUAAAUCAAAAUAUAGAUUUUCAUGUAUUCACAUCACAAUUAUCCAAAUAUACUUCACAUACCACAUAUACUUUCACGUAUACACACUGUCUUGGCUGAAUCUACAUCUAUCAUUUUCCAAUAUCACAAUUUAGAAUUCACGUAUGGGUUUAAUCAAUAGCUUAUGAGCAACUAAAACAAGUUUAUCAAGGUUUACAACACAAUCUCAAAUUCAGCACAAGCUGUUUUUCCUGAGCAAUAGUCACUAAAUUAUUUAUAACUGGAGCUACAAAACUCCAAAUCACUUUCCGUUAAUUUUUUCUGAAUAUAUACUCGUAUAUAUUCCAUCCAUAAAAUUUCCAGAAUUUUAGGUUUGGCCAAUCAAUACCAGAUUUUUCUUAAAAUUUUCCCUGUUUCACUGUUUGACUAAUCUGACCACUCUUCACUACGAAUAAAAUUUCUCAUUUUACAGAAUUUAAAAUGUGUUGUAUUUGAUUUCAUUUGAAACUAGACUCAUUAAGGAGUCUAAGAAUAUAAAUUUUAUCUUAUAACCAUUUUUGUACAAUUUAUAAUGAUUUUCUAAAAACAGAACAGAGGAUUACAGUGUCAUUCUGUGAUGUCUCACACAACUUUAAGUAUCUCAUUAUCGGAAAUUUCUUUGCUUACACGGUUUCUUUUAUAAGAAACUAGACUUAUUAAGCUUUAAUUUCAUGUCUCAUUCAGCCUCUAAUUCAAAUCUAUAAAUUUAUGGUGAUUUUCUAAAGUCACGUUACUGCUGCUGUCCUGAGCAGGUUUAUCACAAUUUUACUCUUCUGACAUAUCCUUUUAGCACUUCAUAAUAUCAUAUCCAUUUGGCAACAUAUCAUAUCAAUAACUUACCUAUACUUCAUAAUAGCCAUUAGGCUAUAUGCAUAAAAAUUUACAAUAGAGUUAUGAUUCUUUUAAUAUGUGCUUAACAUAUCAUACUCAAUCACAUUAUAGGCUUUAAUACUUAAAACUUACCUCGAUCGCUAAUGUACGUCAAUUCCGACUAUUCGACCAAUUUCCCUUUUUCCACGAUCCGACUUUGUUUCCAUAAGCUCUUGAUGCUCAAUCAACAAUUUUUAACUUCAAAUUUGCAAACAGUAAUGUCAUCACUUUACAUAACAGAAAUUAAAUUUCAUUACUUAAACUAUCCACGACAAUCACCUUCCGAGCACCUUAAUUUUCUUUAAGCUAAACCACCUCAUAGUAUACAUUUAUACAUUCGGCUAAUUAUAAAACAAAUCAGCACUCAUAACCGAAUCAUUGACUAAAAUCACAUUCGGUAAUAUGCUUUUAAAUAAUUUCAAUAUUUACUAACAUCUAAAACUAAUUUGCUUGGGGUGCCAUGAAUUAUUCAAAUCGGCCGAAUAUCAUUGAAUCUCUAAAAUCAUGCUUAUAACCACUUGGCCGAGUUUCACAUUUCAAAGCCACAUAUAUAUAUUAUUCAAAGUAUUUAACAACACUUAAAAAUCCAAAACCAUAAAACUCAAUUCAUAUAACACCAAACUCAAUGCUAAAUCACCCUAGGCACAUUCGGCACUAGCACAAGCACACACACAUUUAACUUUUCUAAAAUUCAACUUUAACAAGCUUCCUACGCUUCCAUGAUAAAAACCGAAUGCUCAUCUUACCACCAACAUGCAUAUUUAAUUAUCUCAAGCCUCUCUUAAUCAAUUUUAUUCAUAAUAGCAUGAACUCAACAAUCCAUUACUCAUACAAAACAACAUAACCGAAAACCUUACUCAUUCCAAAAAUUCAAAUCUCAACUUGGUCACAAAAAUAACUUGAUAUCUCACCAACACAACAUCAACACCAAGCAAGAAUGAUGCAUCCAUGGCCGAGUGUCAUUUCCAUCACAUAGCAAGAUUUAGACCAUGGGCUAGGUAGAACUCAAGCUAACAACUAAAACAUGCAUGCAUCUCAUGGAACAUCAUCAAACAUACCUUAGCCUAGUUACAUGCAUGGCUGAACCUCUUCAAUCUUUCUUCUUCCUUCCUCCUUAAAAUUUUCGGCCAAGGAUGAACCAAAGGAUGAACACUUUUUUUUUUGUUUUUCUUUCCUUCAACUCACGGCAAGGGGGGGGGACAAUCACACAUAUCCUUUCUUUUUUUUUUUGUUUCUCAUCCUACUAACACUAAUAUUUUAUUGCCAAUGCUCUUUAUUUUAUUGUUUCCUCCCAUGAUGCACCAACACAACAUGUCUAUGACAUGUUUUGCCCAUCACCCUUUGUCCAUCCUAAUGUCAUGGCCGGCCACUACUAGAUGGGGGGGAAAUUGACAUGCAAGUCCCCCCUUUUUCAACAUGCACUAAUAGGUCCUUAUGUUUUGAUCUAUUACAUUUCAAAAAUGUCACACAUAAGUCCUAUUGACUAAAUUCACAUGAAAUUUACUAAAUCGAAGCUUAAAAUUUUCACACAUUUAUUUUAGACAAUAAAUAUCAUGUUCAAAUAAUUUGGUUACUCAGUUUAGCGGUCCCGAAACCGCUUUCCGACUAGGGUCAAAUUAGGGGUGUCACAUGGCAUGUUUUAUUAAAUAUGAUACAUAUUGAAAUCUAUUGUUUUAGAUAUAGAUUAAAUGAUAUGUGAUUGCCAAAUGUGAUUGUUAAGUGAAUAAUAUUAGUUAAGUACUUAAGCAAAUCUAUUGUUUUACUUAAGCUUAAGAGCAAAGAGGAUCAAAGUCGGAUAGGGGAAAAGAGAAAGUAAACGAAUAGCCGUGGAUAUCUAGUCGUCGACCACUUCCGAGGUAAGUUUUAAGUGAUUAAACAUUGAGUAAAUUCAAUCAUAAUAGGACAUAAUGAGUUGAUUUAAUAAGAUAUGAUGUGGCCAUGAUAUGUCUUAAACUCAAAUGGUAAGUUCAUAAGUGUUUAGACUUGGAAAUUUAAGAGCAAAUUGUAAUAAUUUGCUUAGGACAGCAGCAGUAACGUGAUUUUAGAAAAUCACUAUAAAUUGCUGGUGUGGAAUUAUAGGUUGAAUAAAAUAUUUAAUCAAAGCUUAAUUAGUCUAGUUUCUUAUAAAAGAGACCGUUUAAGCAAAGAAAUUUCCUAUAAAGAGAUAUUUAAAGUUGUGUGAGACAGUGUCAGAAUGACUCUGAAAUCCCCUGUUCUGUUUUUAGAAAAUCAUUAUAAUUUGUACAAAAAUGGUUAUAAGAUAAAAUUUAUAUUCUUAGACUCCUUAAUGAGUCUAGUUUCAAAUGAAAUCAAAUAUAACAUAUUUUGAAUUCUGUACAAUGAGAAAUUUGAUUCGUAGUGAAGACUGGUCAGAUUAGUCAAACAGUGAAACAGGGGAAACUUUAAGAAAAAUCUGGUAUUGAUUGGGCAAACCUAAAAUUCUGAAAAUUUUAUGGAUGGAAGAUAUAUGAGUCUAUAUUCAGGGAAAAUUAACGGCAAUUUAUUUUUAGUUUUGUAGCUCCAUUUAUAAAUAAUUUAGUGACUAUUGCUCAGGAAAACAGCUUGUAGUGAAUAUGUGAUUUUGUUGUAAACAUUGAUGAAACUAUUUGAGUUGCUUAUAAGCUAUUGCUGAAAUUGAUGUACAAGAUAAAUAUAUAUAUGUGUGGUAAAGCCGAAUGGCUAGUAUGAAAUAUGUAUGAGAUAUGUAUAUGUGGUAAAGCCGAAUGGCUAGUGUGAAAUAUGUAUGAGAUAUGUAUAUAUGGUAAAGCCGAAUGGCUAAUAUGAAAUAUGUAAGAGAUAUGUAUAUGUGGUAAAGCCGAAUGGCUAGUGUGAAAUAUGUAUGAGAUAUGUAUAUGUGGUAAAGCCGAAUGGCUAAUAUGAAAUAUGUAUGAGAUAUAUAUAUGUGGUAAAGCCGAAUGGCUAAUGUGAAAUAUAUAUGAGAUAUGUAUAUGUGGUAAAGCCGAAUGGCUAGUAUGAAAUAUGUAUGAGAUAUGUAUAUGUGGUAAAGCCGAAUGGCUAGUGUGAAAUAUGUAUGAGAUAUGUAUAUUUAGUAAAGCCGAAUGGCUAAUGUGAAAUAUGUAGGAGAUGUGUGUAUAUUGUGGCCGAAUGACCAAAUGUGAAAGGUGUGUAUUAUUAGAUAUUUGAUGAGGCAAAUGAAUUACAAAUAUGACAGUCGAUGUGAAUGUUGUAACAUGUGAUUAAAUGUACAUGAAACUUGGAAAUAUAUUCCGGGUAAGACCCGAUGACUACGUGUGGAGAUUAUGUCCGGGUAAGACCCGAUGACUACGUGUGGAGAUUUUGUCCGGGUAAGACCCGAUAACUACGUGUGGGGACUAUUCGAGCUAAAGGUUUCGCUGAAGAUUCGAGUAAAGCAUAAGAUUAUACGACUUCACAGUAACAAUUGGUAAUAAAUACGUUCAAUGCGUUAAGUUGGUCAGGUAUGUAUUUUGAGAUUAUAUUUAAGCUUGAUUUGGACUAAAUCACAAGGUCGUUAUGUGAUGCAUAUGUGAGUAAAGCAAUAAGACUAUUCUAUGAUUAUUGUGCAUUUGGUCAAUGUGGAAAGUUAGGUGAAAAUAUGUAAUGUACCUAUGAUUAUAAGAGAUCACUAUCAAGUGAGAACUUAUCUGCCUAUUAUAUAUGAUGAGAUGUGCAUAUUCGGUAAAGGGAUGGUAUGCCCGAAGGAAGAGUGAAAUAAAAAUACGAACAACUAUGUUAUAAUUUGAUUUUUAUCUGUUGACACUGCUUAAAACUUACUAAGCAUUGUAAUGCUUACUCCGUUUACUUUGUUUCCUCUGUUUUAUAGAUCUCAUUUGGAAGCUACAGGCUCGGGGAUCGUUAGCAACUAGUCACACUAUCACUAUCCACUGUUUGGUACUGCUAUGUUUUGGAUUAUCUUAUGGCAUGUAUAGAAUAGACUAGUAGUGGGAGGAUAUUUUGGUUAAUGUAUAUAAGCUAUGUGAAUAUGACAUCUUUUGAAUGUUUACUUUUAUAAGUUUUUUUUUAAAUUUUAUCCCUGGUUGUGUCUAGCAAUUAUCCAAUUGAAUGAUCUUUACUUCAAGAAAAUGAAAUUUUUUUUUACUGUUCUGAUAUGAAUUUCAAGUCCGGUAAUGCCCCUUUACCUAUUCCGGCGACGGAUACGGGAUAGGGGUGUUACAGUAACACCCCGUACCCAAGACCGUUGCCGGAGUCAAACACAAGGUGUUAACGGGCUUAAUUCAUUUUAAAAUUUUCUAGACAAGCUGGCUAAUUGCAUCACAGUCACUUUAAAAAUCAUAUCUCGAGUUACGAAACUCAAAAUCCAAUUCUGUAAAUUUUUCCUGAAACUAGACUCAUAUAUUUAUCUAUUAAAAUUUUUGUAGAAUAUUUGGUCAAUCCAAUUAGUACAGUUUAUUAGUUAAAGUCUCCCCUGUAUUAGGGUUCAACUACUCUGACCUCUGUGCAUUACGAAUCAGAUAUCUCCAUGUACAGGGCUUCAAUACCUAUGACAUUUGGUUCAAAUAAAACUAGACUCAAUAAUGAAUCUUUAAAUAUAAAUAAUUACUUCUAAUUAUUUUUUUAUAAUUUAUGGUGAAUUUCCAAAGUCAGAAUAGGGGAUCCAGAAAUCGUUCUAGCCCUGUUUCAAAAAAAUUUAAACAUCUCCUAAAAUAUAGCUCAUAUACCUAUUUCGCUUCUUCCACAUAAAAAUAGACUCAUCAAGAUUCGAUUCCAUAAUUUAUUCAUUUUUUAAUUCCAUUUCUACUAUUUUUAGUGAUUUUUAAAAUUCACCACACUACUGCUGUCUGAAUCUGUUUUAUGGUAAAUUUUACCUAUUUCAUGGUUUCCAUGGAUUAGCUAGUAAUUUGACCUACAUAACACCGAAUAUGAUCAUGAUUAGCCAUUCCAAUGGCUAGUCAUUACCAAGAAUUUCCAUACUACUCCAUAACCAUAUCAUAAAUGUAACACCAAAAUUAAUCAGCCAUGACAUACGACAUGAUAAUCAAAUAGACUUAGACUAUUACUCAAUCAAAACCAAAUUCGAACCUAGGAUUAAAGUCAUUUUCAAUGCAUGAAAUACUUACCACAGACAUCAUUCAUUCGUAGUACUGAUCACUUUAACCAAAACGAAUUUAAAACCACUAUCAAUCAUAACCAAAUUAUCAAGACCAAACUUACUAAACCUUAUAACUAAGCACCCAUAAGCCAAAUCCAAACUCAACAUUUAAGCCAUAUUCGCAUGGCUAAAAGUAUACAUAUUAAAGUUCAAACAAAACAUAAUAGCCUAUACAUGCCGUAAUGUUCACCUAUAUAACUAAGAAAAGAUACCAAAGCAUUGCAAGCUGGUGUGAUGACUUUGACGAUGAUCCAAACACGCAAAAUGGGUCAAGGAAAUCUAAAUAGAAAACAAACAAACACAAACAAACAAAAAAAAUGAGUAUUCAACCCAGUAAGUCAUAAGCAAUAAUAUACAUACCGUUGAUAUGAGAUUACGAAAAAAAAAUAAUAUAAAAUCAACCAAUUUUUAAUCAUGCCGAAUUAUGUUACAUUCACAUAUUUUACUGACCCAACCACAGGCCAAGGCUUACUAUCAAAUCAACUAUCAACCAACCAAAUGCUUUAAAACCUUCUCUCAAUGUAUAAAACAAUGUCAAAUUAUAUACACUCAUGCAUAUUCGUUUCAGGCCUCAUUUUGAUAUUUCAAUUAAUAGCACAAACACUAUAUGCUUUCCAUAUGCUACUUAAACCAUCAACCGAAUUCGCACACAUAGUGCACCAGGAUUUUCGCACACACAGUGCCAAGAUACACCGCACACUUAGUGCCCCGAAAAUUCAAUCACGAAUUUAACAUUCAAAUCAGCAUACAUAGUGCCUUUCAACUACGCACACGUAGUGCUAGUAUCGAUUCCUUAUAGUAAGACAAUUAAAUUAACUCAAUUGGCACAUACGGCCACAAUUAUAAAUGCAUAUAUAUAUAAUCAAUCUCAUGAAAGCUUAUGUACUUACCUUAUAUAGUUCGAAAUGAUUUUUAACCAUCUACUCAAUAUUCUUUGUUUUUGCCUUUGCUUGACUCCCCUCCUUUGGGUUCUUGAUUUAGGAUAAUUAAAUUCGGUAGUUUAAUCACUUUGCUAAAUACUUAGACAUAUAAUUCAAUGAUUUUUACAUCAUCUUACAAUCACCAUUAUUCAAGACUUUGAAAUUUCCACAAAUGUUCAUCUAAUGCCUCUAGGUCGAAUGUAAUAUUACAUCCAAAUUCACAUAGUUUUUGUUAUAUCUAAUUCUAAUGUACAUAAUCAUAAUUCAAUUCAACAUUAUAAACCAUUAUCACCCAUUUAGCCGAUUAUAGGGAAUUAAAUACAAUAUCUCUAGGAUACACUCUACAUGGCCGAAUAUACCACAUUAAUUUUUUUAACAUUACCUAUGUAAUUACCUAUGGGUUCUUAUACCUUAAAUUUCACACAUUUAACCUUUUAGUGCCUAUUUAUCAUUCCUUUGAUCUUAACCUAAAUGACAACUCCCAUUCUCCAUAUUUCAACCGAAUUAUAUAAUAACAUCAAGACUAAAAUUUUUGCACCUUGAACUUCAUACAUUUAUAAAAACUCUCAUAACUCAUUCGCCCCUAUCAAGAACCAUUUAACAUGCAAGGAAAAUAAUCAUAGAGGAAGAAAUUAACAUUCUAAAUAAACUCAAUUUUUGACCGAAUGUACUAGGUGCCUCUAAAAUACUCAUCCAAAAAUCUUUACCCCAUUCUAGUCAUUCCCCUAUUGUUCCAUACAACAUGAAAAUAACCCCUAAUUCUAACACUUAAUCAUUCGGCAUAUUGCCUAAAUCACCAUAAGAAAUCUCAACUUUCUUGACAUUACCAAGAGUGCAUCCACAAUUUAACUUAGCAUAUUAUAAAACCAAAUCAACAAAUUCAAAGCUUACCUCCUAAUAGCUAAAGAUGAAUGCCGAAUUGCUCUAGGUAAAUUUUCCCUUAUUUUUCAUCUUUGUUUCGGCUUUGAGAGAGGUAGGAGAAGAAGAUGAACACCAUCCUCUUUCUUCUCUUUUAUUUAAUUCAUUUUAUUACAAUUAUUAAAUCAUUUGUUAAUAUAAAAUUAUUUUAAAUUUGAAUUAGUGAAGCAUUAUCAUUUCUUGGCUGGCCACUAUGUUUAUUAUGGGUAAAAUGACAUGCAAAACCACUCUUUUCAAUGCAUGUACUAAUAGACCAUUGUAAGAUUAUCCUAUCACUUUCCACCAAUGUUUCAUAUAAGUCCAUUUUAAUAAAUUCACAUAAAAAUGAUCAAAUUAAUGCAUGAAACUUUCACACAUGCAUUUACUCACAUCAUAAACACAGAAUAUAACUUUUAAUUACUUAUAAGACUCGGUUUCGUGGUCCCGAAACCACUUUCUGACUAGGGUCAAUUUAGGGCUGUCACAAGUUUGGAUCUAAAGAUCGUUAUAAUUGUGAUGUUUGGGUUGAACCCAUAAGUGGGUGUUUGGGGGCUGUUUAAGUGGUAUAUUAAUUUAGUUAAAUAAUGAUUUCUAAUUUAGGUUUGUUACAAAGUCUUAAGGAAAUUUUAACUUAAUAUUUUAUUGAGGGGGUUUUUAAAUUAAAUUAAUCUUACCAUUAAUGGUCAACAUUUGUCCAUUUAAUCCUUUAAUUGAUCUUAUUGAUAUCCUAUAACAUGCAUGCUAACAUAUUACCAAUUGUAUCAUAUACAAGAAAAUCAUAAAGCAGUAAAUAAAUGCAAUGGUUAUACCCAUAAAACUAAGGUGGUUCCUCUUAAGCCAAUGGGAGAACCGUAGGGAAUCCUAAGGGUUUAUAUCACUUCUCUAGCUUUUUUUCCACUUUUGGUAGCCCAACCUUCUUUUCUCUAGCCUGUAUCAACUCGUACAAUUUACAAUUAUAAAAAAUCGUUUUACAUAUGAGGGAGUAAUAUGAGAAGAGAAAUACAAGAGAAAUAUAGAAAGGCCUAACACACAGACCGUAUUUAUAAAAUUACAACGUUUGCAAAAAAUAAUUUAAAUGGGCUAUUGGGCUAUAACCAUACAUUUCCAACCAUGGUACAUAUCAAACAUAGUAUGCAACAUGUAUCUCAUAUAGUCAUAUCAACCAAUAAAUUUAAUCUUAAAUCCGUAUCGUACAAGUGCUUUUGGUACCACUCUUGGAUUGUUGGUAUGCCCUGUGGCAUAGCGAAAAAGUUAUUCUGGUGAUCAUCAACCACGAAGCCAUGUACGAGAAACGAAUCGGGUUGAAAGAGGACUGAAAAUAUACUUUCUUUAGUGAAAACAUUGAAAGGAUGCUAGUGAUUCGAUGUCGAUUCCAAGCCACAAUGAAAACAUCUCGGCCUUUACGUUGUCCACCCCGUAAAAAAUGAACAACCACUUUCUCUUGAACUUUUUAGAGAGAAUUAAAAAUGGUUGUUAAACCUUUUAAAUUAUUAAGUUGGUAACCUUAACACACUAAGGGAUUAUCAUCUUUUUAUUUUCUUUGAUGUCACAUAUUAAAUGGAAAACUAGGAUUAUGCCCUUAUUAAUAGUGAAAGCAAAUGGAAAGUUAGAAAAAGAAAUUAUAUUCAUUCCAAAAAAAUAUGUGAUUAUUCCCUUAUUAAUAGAGAAGACAAAUGGAAAGUUAAAAGAAAAAAGAAUUAUAUUAUUUCCAAAAGAAUAUUAAUUCUCAUGUGUUUUAUAUUUUGACCAAAAUUAAUUAAUAUAAUUGUUUAUAUUAAUAAAUUCGGUGAAAUAUAUACAAUUAAUAUUUUGUAUGAAUCAAAUCCAUAUAUUAAUUAUAUUAUUUCCAAAAUAAUAUUAAUUUUCAUGUCUUUUAUAUUUUGAUUGAAAUUAAUUAAUAUAAUUGUUUAUAUUAAUAAAUUCUGUAAAAUAUAUACAAUUAAUAUUUUAUAUAAAUCAAAUUCAUAUAUUAAUUUUAUCUAUAUUCUCUAUUUGUUAACAACAAGUUCGUACAUAUAAUGUGUUUAAUAUUUAACUAUUAAAUUAAUUCAACAAUUAAUUUAGUUCAAGUGACGACUAAAUAUAAUACCAAAUGUAUUUGGAUUCUAUUCGUUUCAACUAUGGGGUGUGACCCUGUAGGCUAUUUUAACGUUGGUAGUAAUACUAAAAUGUUUCUAACAUUACAAACAGUGAGUGACAUCUAGCAAUGCAUCUUUGCCACCCAAGUUAGAAGAAGUCGUGAUUCGACAUAACCUUUCUGUGAUAAUCUUUUCAUGUAUUGUAUCCUUUUAUCCUUAAUAUCUAGAUUGGACACAAGUUAUAGAAUAAUCACACUUGUAUAAUCCAAUGUUACAUUUCUUGAUUUUCUAAGCAGACUAUAAUAAACAAAUAAGUAUGAUAUCUCAAUCAACUUAUUUGAGCAUGGCCAUGUAUUUCUAGUCUCACUCCAUCAAGAGGCCUAAGAUAUUACUCCUAUUAUAUAGGAGAGAUAAAUCCUAUCUUGAUCAACCAUAUCCCACUACAUGGAUUAUGGUAUAUCCAACAUCAGUCUUUAUAGUACAACCUGUCACAGUAGACAUUUUGACUGUAUCAAAAUAUAUGACUUACGAUGUUGGGACAAUGAUGAUCUCAAAUCUGAGGAUCAUAUACAUAGUUAUCACUAUGAGUAAUAUUGCAACUAUUACAUAAUAAUCCAAAAAAUCUACUCAUAGUGGGUCAGUCCAAUAUGUUGUUCUCUAACACAUACUCAUGUAUUGAUUUUUGCAUCCUUAUGUCAAUGGCAACUCUUUGUCAUCAAUCAACUAUACAUUAGUCUCAAUGAAUUUUUGUUGUCCAAGCCUACAAUAAUACUUAACUAAGGACCUUUUAAGAUUAAUCAUAUUUUCUUAGGACUUUAUUACAAUUCAAUUUAUUUAUAUACACAGAAAAAGAAACCAAAAUAAUAAUGGAAAUAUAUUAUAUUAAUAAAAAAUAUAAAAUGAGUAUGUGAUUACAAUCAUCUUAUGAUUGAUCUUGGGGCAUACUCUGACAGAUCCAACCACGUAAUACCACUUAAUAUUAGUUAAACAUUUAGAUAACCAAUGAGCAACAUUUGCAUCCAUUUUUCUUUGUGUGCAAAAACCAUGUGAGGACAAUUAUACAAAGUAUAUUAAUACAAUCAAUGAAUUUUUUUUAUUAACCAAUCUAUUAAAAAAAUUAGAAGUUUACAAACGAUUAUAGUACACUCCGGGCACUAGAUCCAACACAUAGAGCUUGGUAUGAAGAUUAUCAAAUUUUCUUAUUGAAAAAGGUUUUUAUAAAAGGAAGGUUGAAACAACAUUUUUUAUUAAAAUAAAAGAUAAGGAUUUGUCAAUAGUUCAAAUAUAUGUUUUAUUUUUGGAGAUACUAAUGAUCUUCUUUGUCAAGAACUUUCCAAGCUAAUGGAAAGUGAAUUUGAUAUGAGCAUGAUGGAAGAGCUCUCAUUCUUUUUGGGACUCCAAAUCAAGUAAAGGAAGGAUGAAAUCUUCAUCAAUCGAGUUAAGUACACAAGGGAUAUGCUCAAGAAGUUUAGGAUGGACAAUAUCAAACCACAAGCUACACCCAUGAGCUCUUUUCCAAAGCUUGACAAAGAUGAAGAAGGUAAAUGUGUAUAAAACUAUAUAGGUCAAUGAUUGGUUCUUUGCUUUACCUUAUCACAAGUAGACCUCACAUUAUGUUUAGUGUUUGCUUGUGUGCUAGAUAUCAAUCUUGUCCUAAGGAAUCUCAUUUACAAGCCAUUAAGAGAAUCUUUAGGUACCUUAGAGACACACCUAAUUUAGGUCUUUGGUAUCCUAGAGACUCAUCCUUUAGCUUACAUGCUUUCUUAUAUGAAAAUUUUAGAGGUUGCAAACUAGAUAGGAAGAGCACCUUUGAUACUUUUCAAUUUUUAGGCAACAUGUUAAUUUCAUGAUUUAAAAAAAAACAAAAUAGUGUAACGUUGUCCUCCACCGAAGCAGAAUACAUUUUUGGCAGUAGUUGUUGUGCUCAAGUUUUAUGGAUGAAAAAAAAACUUAAGGACUAUGGAAUUGAUAUAGAUAUUAUUCCUAUCAUGUGUGACAAUACUAGUGCUAUUUGUUUUACUAAAAAUCUCAUCCAACAUUCUUGAACUAAGCAUAUUGAAAUAAGACAUCAUUUCAUUAGAGAUCAUGUUAAGAAAAGAGAUGUAGUUAUAGAAUUUGUUGAAAUUUUGAACCAAUUAGCAGACAUUUUUACCAAACCACUAGAUAAUGAAAGGUUUUGGACACUUAGGAGAGAAAUAGGUAUUACUACCUUGCCUUGAUUUUGUGUUCAAAUGAAUUUGUUCACUUUGACGUUUUCAGAAUGUUUUUUAACUUAGAAUUGACUGAAAAAUCAUGAACAAAUUAGGGGGAGUUGAUAUUACAUGUCUAGUAUAUUUUUAACCUAUUUGCUCUAGUUUAAAUGAUUUUUGAAUGCCUUUGAGUAUGUUAAAUUAGACUUUAAUUGAUGUAAAUGUUCAAUUUUUACAUAUUUUAUGAUCUUCUAUGAUUCAUAUACAUCAUGCUUUAAUUCUAUAUAAUUAGGUGUAUGAAAUCAUUAUAAAUGGCUAAAAUGAUUGCAUCCUUUGAGUUUUUCUUUUCUUUUCCAUUUCUAUGUGAUUGUACCUUAAUGUGUAUUUGGUAUUUUAAGAUACUUUAAUGAUUAUUUUGCAAAUUUUAGUUCACUUGUUCUUUAUUUUUAAAUAUCUAUCUUUGGACUAAUCACUUUCUUUUCCUUUUAAGCUUUAUUUGUUUAUUUUUUUUAUAAAACAAAAAGGGGAAAAUAAAGAUAAAGUGGUUAUUGGAUGAUAAUAUAUUUAAUCUCAACAAUUUUGUGACCAGUUUUUCAAAAAUAAAAACGAGCCUUAAAUUGAAAUUGAAUUUCCGAAAGGGGGAGUAUUUCUAAUCAGAAACAAAUUUAUCAAAAUGUUUUGUUAUAACAAAAAGGGGGAGAUUGUUAAACUAACUUUAAUUAAUGAAUUGUUUUGAUAUAAGAAAAAAAAUAUUUUUGAGUAAUGUUUGUUUUUACACAAAGAAAUUAUAAAGUUUAAAACAUAAAAAUCAUUUUAAGACUUUCAAACAUCUUAGAAAAUGUUUUAAACACUUACAAAAAAUUUGGACAAAGUUCAGAAAUGAUUUAAACUCUUUUAACUCAAUUGAAAGACCUUUAAAUCAAUUGAAAAACUGUUCCCUACAAAAAGUAUCAAUACCUAUUGUAUUUUCAUCCAUACCAUCUUUGCUAUUGAUACCGUUUUUGCAUUCUGACUUGAUGAUUAUUCAAACGAUUACAAAAAAUAUCGAUACCUUUUACUAGGUAUCGAUAAAAUAUCUUUGGUAUCAUUGUAAACUAAAUUUUAACUGUCAUUGAAUCAAGCAUUAAAUGUUAAUAGUAUUGAUACUCAUAGAAAAAAUAUCAAUAUCUUUUGUUGUAGGUGAAUUUAGUGAUCUGGUAUUUUAAUCCCCAAUGGCUCUAUUAAAUUCCUUAACAACCACAACAGUUCAAAAUCAAUUAGAGAGUAAAUACUAGCUUUUAAAUGUUCUACCGCAACAAGUGAGAUUAUAAUAGAUCAAGUGUUUGAAGAUACAUCAAAAAUCCAUUACCAAUCACUUUAUGCUUCAAUUCUUUAUCUUCUUCUUGUAAACACUUGUGAGCAUUCAUUGUAUUGUUUAUUAGCUCUAGUGUUUUCCUUGUAUUUGUGCUUACUUGGAAAACAUCCUAAUCUUGUUAGGAUCAUUUCUUUGAUUGCUUAUUUGUUAUUCGCUUUGAGAGGGUUGAGUCUUAAGAUUUGGGUAGAAAGCUGAAGGGAGUUGCAAUUUUAAGAUUUUAGGUAGAAAUUUUAAGGGAAUUGUAAGGUUAAACCUUGUCCUCAAAUGUUGUCAAAUUAGUGAAUUUGAGAAAAUCCUUAGUUGUGGAAAACUAAGGUAGUGGAGUAGGAAAUUGAGUCCAAAUCACUAUAUAUUGUUGUGUUCAUUAUCUCCAUUUCACCAAAAUUUUAGAAAGCCAAUUCAGCACCCUCUUGGUUAUUUUCGAGGAUCAAUUGAGCUAACACCAAUAUUUAAAUAAUAAUGAUUUUAUAGAACAAACAAGCAACUUUGUGCAUCGCACGAGAUAGAAAACUAGUUAUAUUUAUAUCAUCUAUAUAACUAUAUAUAAAAGGAAAGCCAUGAGGAACCUUCCCUUGUUGACACAUGGGCACAUUAAUAUUUUUUUAUACAAUAUUAAGGGCCUUAGAGACCGACGCGUGACUUUCCUUUUUAUUUUGGGUCUACAUUGCUUCUUCUUCUUUUCUUUUUUCUUUUUAACAUUAGAACAAUGGUCACAUUUCAACUUUAGUCAUUAUACAUAUCCAUUUUCAAUUUUAUGUUUAUUAUUACACAACUAUCAAGUGAUUUUCUUUUUAUUUUUUAAAUGUCUCACCAGAGAAUUUAAUAAAAAUAAUUUAAUGGCGAUAAUAAUUGGAUCUAUUUUUAAGUCCAAAAAAUAUACGAAUAAAAUUUUAUGCUUAAAAUUAAGGGAACUAAAUUCCAAAUAUAAGAGGAAGGCCAAGUGUUCAUGGUUUUUUUUAUAUAUUGAUGUGCAUGAUAAGUUUUAUAUUUAUGAUUGGUCGUACUUGAAAACUAACUAUUAUCACGAUAAAGGCAAGCAACCUAUCGAACAGUAGUAUAGCUUAUAGCAAGACUGGAAUGUCGAACCCAUAAGAACUAAAAGUAGUAGUAUUAACCUUCUUUUUAUUAUCUAGCUUAAAAAUAAGGGGAUUUUCUUUAUCUAAACUAAUUAACUAAACUAAGAAUGCACAGGAAGUAAAUUGGGGAAAUACUUUUUGAAAAACUGAUUGAUUUAGACAAUACCCAAGGAAGAAUCCACCUAGACUUCACUUUUUAUUUGACUCUGAACUAGACGAUUUAUUCACUUGACUUGAUCUUUAGAAAUCCCUAAUUUAUAUUAUUAUCUUUCUCGAGACUAACAACAUCUAACCCUAGGUUGAUUAAUUGAAAUCUCUUUCUAAUUAAAACCCCUAGUGUUGCAUUAACUCAAUCUAUGGAUUCCCUUAUUAGGUUUGACCCUAAUUCGACAGAUUUAUGUCGCCCUAUGUCUAGGGGUGCAAUCAACUCUGCUUAAUUAUGCUAGAUCUACUCUUAGACAGCGACUUUUGCUCCUCUGAAUAAGUACAUCAAUACUUAAUCAAUAUCCUGGAAUAUUAAAGCAAGAAUUAAGAACAUAUAAUUAAGAACAAAUCAAGUAUUUAUCAUAUAAUUCAGAAAAUAGUAACAAAAUCCGUCUUAGGUUUCAUCCCCCUUAGGUAUUUAGGGAAUUUAGUUCAUAUGUGUAAAAGAAAACAUCUCAGGAGAAUAACAAUAACAAAACAUAAAGAAACCCCAAAAGCCCUGAAGGAAAUUUAAGGGAGAUCUUCAGUCUUGAAGAAGAAUCCAGCUUCUGAGAUGGAUCAAUCAGGUUUCUUCGAGUAAUUCCUUACCUCCCACUCCGUGUGUGUUUUCUAGAUUCCUCCUCGAGUGUUUAUAUAGGCUUUAGAAUGCUUUAAAACCCUCAAAAGUGGCCUUUUCUGAGUAGAACUAGACUUGAGCUCGAUAGGGACACAGCCAUGUACCACGCCCAUGUGGGGUGGCUUAGACCGCAUUAAAGUCUGUUAAAUAGACACGGGCAUGUGGUCUACCCAUGUGAGAAAGUCCAGGCCGUGUUGAUUUCCCACGUUGACCCAUUUUCUCCCUUUUUUUUUGCCCGUUUCUCGCUCUUUUUACUCUCCUAUGCUCACCUAAGUAUAAAACAUGAAAUUAAAGGAUUAGGAGCAUCAAAUUCACUAAAAAGAAGGAAAGAUCAUUCAUAAAUAUGCCAAGCAUGGGGUAAAAAUAUGUAUAGAUUAUGGUUUAUCAAAUAUCCCCACACUUAAGCAUUUGCUUGUCCUCAAGCAAAAUCCUCAACUCAUGAUCAAAAUAAAUUCUUCUCAACUUAUAAUUCUUAUCAAUAAUGUUUCAAAAUAAUCCACAAGAAGUCAUACAUUGAAAAUUUAACUAAAAGAACAUUAAGGUUACAAAUAGUCAAAGUUGAGCAUUUUAAUCAUAAAAUUAUAGGCAUCCCCCUUUAUCUAAGUAAUUAUAUUUAAUUCCAAAUUUACAUUGAUUGGCAGCCUCACUAAAGGUUCACUCAAAUCACUCAGUGUGUUUAAGGUUCAAUGAUUAAGCACUCAUUAGUCAAACAUGAAAAUUUAUUACAAUAAGCUUGCAUGAAAAUCAAAUUUUCACCACAUUGAAUGAGAUGAUACACAAAUCAAAAGGUCUUAAGUAGGGUUGUAAUGGGGCUUGGGUUAAAGGUGUGGAUAAAAAAUGCAAAAGAGGGUUAGAAUCGAGAUUAAUUUAAUAAAUUACCAAACUUAGAAGGAUGAAUCAAAUUGCUAAAUUACAAGAAAGUGCCAGAAUUCGGCUAUCAAAGGCAAAUGAUGAGAGCUUUUUCUCAAUAUAAUAACUUUACUUAACCAAGCUCAAUAAAUAAUUGUAACUAUACAGUUUUUUUAAGAACAAAUCAAUGAUGAAAAAUACAUAAUAAGAAAUAAUUCAGCAACUGGAAUGAAAGAACAAAGUUAGGUAACUAAUUAAAUCAAAUCUCGAUAAAAAGGAGUCAAUAAAAAUGGAGAAAUUCUUAAUGGAUCAAAAAGGGUUAAGUUGUGGGUUAUUAUUAAGGGUAAAAUCAAGAAAUAAAAGUUAAGGUCCAAAGGGGUUCACUAGGGGUCAAUUAUGUGGGUAGGCUUUUAUGGGGUAAAUGGGUUAAAACCUAAGUGUCUUUAUCAUUUUCGUAUAUCAUAUCAAAGGUGUGGUCUUGACAUGUAUAAUCGAAGCAAGUUCUAGAAUAAUGAAUCAAUGUUAACUCACUUAUAACCAAUAAAAUUAGUGAGCAAGAAAGAUAUAUGCUCUAAAAGGCUCAAAAUCUCAUGAAAUAUGCGGGUAUUUGAUGUCAAUCCUGUAAAUUCAAAACUUCAAGAUAAUACCUCAAUUCAGGGAAAUAACCUAGCAAUUUUUAAUUCUCAAAAGUCAACUUAUCAUGCUUGAUUCUCUAAUUUCUUUAAAGUUUAAAUAAUCAAUGCAUAAUUACCUAUGAUUUAUUUCAAAAACAUAUCAAUAAAAAUCAUAAAUCAAUCAGAAUUCACUCUAAUAAUGAUAUGAGAAAAUUAUUUGAGAAUAAGAUAAAAAUUCAGGGAUUUCUGAUAAUCACAUAAAAAACCUCCCCACACUUAAGAUGUACAUUGUCUUCAAUGUAUAGAGAUAUAUAAUAAUCAUAUAAGCAUAAUAUCAAAAGAGAGGGAUAGAAGCGAAACUUCCCUGAAUUUUUGAAUGAAAUCCUUAGAAUAGCGAAGGCUGGAUUUGUAGAUAUGACCAAUGAAAGGUAUGUUUCUGAGUUACUAAUAAGAAAAUAAACCUACUAUGGAAGAGAAUUAAGGCUUACUCGAUAAUAACCAUUAGGAUAAACAUAGUUCAAAAUAUAAAAACAUAAGUCUUCAAAAAUAAUUAAAAGAAAGAUAAAAUUAAAAAUAAAAAUAAAAUAAAAUAAAUAAAUGGAGUGGAGAAAGAGAGAAGAAUGAAGGAAUGUGUAGGGAAGGGAGGACAAGAGAGAAGAUUUUGAUGCAUAUAGAGGAAAAGGGAGGAGAAAGGGUGGAUUUUGGGGUGAUGGUCGGAGCUUAGGUGGCAACGGCGGCGGAGAGAGCAGUGGUUAGGGUUAGGGUAUUGGGGAAAGGGAUGAUCAUGAUGAUGAAUUGUGGGGGUUUAUAUAGAUAUUGGGGCACACGGCCGUGGGGCACACCCGUGUGCCUUUAUUUUAGCCCGUGUGUUUCGUGGUUUUCAAAUUUGGGCGUGUCUGGAAUUCAGCCCACGUCCGUGUUCUUUGGGCGUGUUGGUGCACACGACCGUGUCGCACGGUCAUGUCCUACUUCGUUCGCUUCUUCCGCGGUCGUUUGUAUAUACACACACCCGUGUUAUUUUGACAAUUUCCACUAUGGGUGGUAGGCACGGGCUUGUUGCACGCCCGUGUUAAUUUCUCAAUUUCUACCACGGUUUAAAGACAUGGGCGUGUCGCAUGCCCGUGUUGAUUUGGCAGGAUUGCCUACGGCUAUGUCGCAUGGCCGUGGCAAUGUAUCAAAUCCUGUGUUUGGGGAAAAAUUUUGCUCUGUUUUCACACAGCCAUAUCGCACGACCGUGUCCCUGUCCAUGGUAUGAGCACGGCCUAAGGCACGCCCGUGUGCCUAGCCGUGUAGAUUUGGAAAACCUGUGUUCACGGACUUAGUUAAUGAUUUAGAUGUUAAAAACUAAAAUUUAAAGAACUCAACACUAUUGGUGCUUGGGUUGCCUCCUGAGAAGCGCUUAUUUAGAGUCUAAUCUUGACUUACCUCUCUAUUACGAGGUCAUGGUGGUGCGAGGAGUUUACACUCCUCAUUCCUACUAUCAAUCUCAUCAAAAUAAGGUUUUAGACGAAUACUAUUUACCUUAAAAGUGCCAAAUUUGGAAUGAGUUACCUCGACUGUACCGUAUGGGAAAAUGUUAAGUACCGUAAAAGGGAUUGCUCCAUUAGGUUCAGAAGUGGUAAUAUGAGGGUCUACUGCAUCUAAUAGUACUUUGUCUCCAACCUUAAGUUAAUUUGAUAAAACAUUGAGCCCGUCAUGGCCUGGUUUUGGUUUAUUGUGUGUUCUCAAUUUCUAUGUCUACCAUUCAUCUAGUUCCUCGAUCUAUAGCCUUUGUUUUUCAUAGAUGGGUCCUUUGUUGUUACUUAAACAUGGCUUAUGUAUGCUCUUCGAACGUGUUUCUUGCAAAGAAGGUUGCACCACAUGAUCAGUAUUAGUAACAUGAUUUAUACAACCACCCUCAAUAUUUGAUGUGUUACUCGAAUUACGAGCUUGAAGAGUGAUUGUUUCGUCACCCACACGAAGUGUGAGUUCACUUGUACCAACAUCAAUAAUAGUUCUAGCAGUUGCUAAAAAGGGCUAUCCUAAAAUCAAAGGAACGUCACUAUCUUCUUCCAUGUCUAGAACAACAAAAUCAAUUGGGAAUAUAAAUUUAUCGAUUUUGACAACUACGUCAUUGAUACCCCUAGGAAAUCUGAUGGUUUUAUCUGCUAAUUGAAUGCUCAUCCUAGUUUGUUUGGGUUUCCCAAAACCUAGUUGUUUAAACAGUUUAUAGGGCAUGACGUUAAUGCUUUCCCUUAAAUCAGCCAAUGCAUUAUUAACAUCUAAGUUACCAAUUAAACAAUGAAUCGUAAAGCUCCCUGGAUCUUUCAAUUUGUCGAGCAGCUUAUUCUGUAGAAUGGCUGAGCAACCUGCGCUUAACUCCACAUGCGAUGCCUCAUCCAACUUCCGUUUAUUUGCUAAAAGCUCCUUUAAAAAUUUAACUGCGUUUGGCAUCUGCGAAAGAGCUUCAAUAAAUGGUAAGUUAAUAUGUAAUUUCUUUAAUAAUUUAAUAGAUUUACUAAAUUGUUCAUCUGUGUGGUCUUUUCUUGUUGCUCUAAGGUAUAGCAAACGAGGUUUGUACUUUUUACUUACUGAUUUUCGCUCACUGUGGUCCACCUCAUCCUUACCUUUACUUACCAUCCUUACCUUGGUUCUGGUUGAGGUUCAACUAACCCUUCUUUAUUUCGAACGAAAAUCGCAUUAAGCUGUUCCCUUGGGUUAGAUUCGGUGUUACUCAGCAAGCUGCCUUGUGGUCAUUCAGAAAUCAAUUUAGUAAGCUGGCCUAUCUGAGUUUCGAGCCCUUGGAUCGACACUUUUUGAUUCUUAAGUGUUGUUUCGAUAUUCUGAAAAUGAGUUUCUGACACCGAGAUGAAUUUCGUUAGCAUCUCUUCAAGGUUCAGCUUCUUUUUCUACUGGUAAGGUGAUUGUUGGAAAUUGGGGGAUGUUGUGGUCUUUGAUUUUCUUGGCCACCCUACGAGGAGUUGAGUGUUACUGUAUGGGUUAUUUUGAGGUCUAGAAUUAUAGUUACCUAUAUAUUGAACUUGUUCCUCCUCGGUACUCCUCCUCCAUUUGAAUCACACCUCAUCACUGGAUGUACCUGAAUAGAACCAUACAAACCGUCAAUCUUUUUAUUUAAAAGUUCUACCUAGUUAGACAGCAAAGUAACCGCGUCGAGGUUGAAAAUGUCGGCCGCUUUCAUUGGCUUUGUUCUCAUGACUUGCCACUGAUAAUUAUUCAGUGAUAUCUCUUCUAUAAAUUCAUAAGCCUCUUCAGGUGUCAUAUUGUUAAAAGUUCUACCGGCGGCUGCGUCGAUAAGUUGCCUUGUUGAGGGGUUCACACCGUUGUGAAAAGUCUGCCUGUAACCAUAAAGGUAACCCAUAGUGAGGGCACCUUCUCAAUAGGUCCUUAUAUCUCUCCCAUGCAUCAUAAAGAGUUUCUAGAUCCAUCUGCACAAAAGAAGAGAUAUCAUUCCUCAAUUUAGCCGUUUUAGCCGGCAGAAAAUAUUUAAGUAAACAAUUUUUGGUCAUUUGUUCCCAAGUAGUGAUUGACCCUCAUGGUAAUGAGUUCAACCACUGUUUAGACUUAUUCCUCAAUGAAAAGGGAAACAACCGAAGGCGAAUGGCAUCAUCAGAAACGACAUUGAUCUUAAAACUGUCGCAGAACUCCAAAAAAUUCGCCAAAUGAGUGUUUGGAUCCUCGUCCUGCAAACCAUCAAACUGAACAAACUAUUGUAUCAUUUGAAUCGUGUUAGUUUUUAGUUCAAAAUUAUUUGCAGAAUAGUAGGUCUAACUAUACUCGAUUCAGCUCCUGUCAAAGUAGGUUUAGCAUAAUCAUACAUAGUACGAGGAGCACGAUUCUAAUUUAUUGGAUCUGCGGCAACCACAGGAGGUAGCUGAUUAUUCUGAUUUUUAGCCUGUUGUAGUUUGACUACCGUCCUCAUGGCCUUCCUCUAUGUAUCGUAGGCUUCGCCUGAUUUCUCUUUGGUUUCUGCGAGCUGUGCUUUUUAUCUCACUAUCAAAAAGUAAUAGUCUUGUAACACCCCGAAAAUUUAUACAGUAAGAUAUUACUCUUAAUAUAGUAAAAUAAGGAAAUAAAGUGACAAGAAAAGGAAAAUUGAGUUAUGUCACUGGGAAGUAUAUUAUGACAUAUUGAUUCAAGAAAGGAUUAAAUUGUGAAGUGAGAAAAGUUUUGUGGCCCAAGAGUAAAUACUCAAAAUUUGAGGGAUUAAAGUGUAAAUAUAAAAAAGUUGAGGGGCUAAUAGUGCAAAUAUUUUAAGGGUGGAAGGAUCUAGAAACCAAGUAAAAAUUGAUGAAUUAGGACCAAAUUGAAUAGGUGAAGAAUUAUGAGGAACUAAAUUGCAAUUUUACCAAAAUUAAGUGAUGACUCAAUAAUGGAAUUUUAAAAGAUCACAAAGGGCAAAAUGGCCAAUUGGAAGAGAGAGAAAUCUAGAAAGUAAUGAUGAUGUUGGAGAUAUUUUAGAUUAAUUAAUUAAUUAAAUAUUAGUUAUUAAUAUUUUAAUUUGAUUUUUUAUAUGAUAUUUUAUUAUUUUAUUAGUAUAUAUAAAGAAAGAAAGAUGAUGAAAUUCUCAUCUAUUUUCCAUGCAUUCACGUUAGGAAGAAGAGAAGAGAAGAAAGAAACUUUUCAUUCUUUACAAUUUAGUCCUUUUACCAAAAAUUCACCAUUUUCACCUAGAAAUCAAAAGAAUUUCCAUAGUUAUCAAGGGAGAAAAAUGUUAAGGAGACUAUGGGGAGUUAGAAUAUCAAAUUGGAUUUAAGGAAUAGAAGCUGGAGGACAGAGAAAAUCAAAUUAAAGAUUGGAAUCAAUAGAACAAGGUAAGUACAUCAAUAUUUCAAUAUAUUUUUAAGUUUGUUAUUAUUGAGAAAACAUAGAAAUAAUGUUAUAGUAGAGUCUUCUUAUAUAACGUUCUAUGAUCUUGAUGAGUUAGUGAAGGGAAAUAGGAGAAAGUGAUGGGAAAUAUUGUAGAGAAAGGGAAUAAGGGUGUUAUAAACAUGGUAAAUAAUAUCUUGCACUAAAACAGUUUUGGACAGCAGCAGUAGGCUAACUUUGAAAAAUCACCAAAAAUUGUGGAAAUUGAAUUAGACAUGAAAUUAAAUAUUAUUGAGUCUAGUUUCUUAUAGAAGAAACGAUGUAAGCAAUGGAAUUGUAAAUCAUGAAAUAUGAUAAAUUUUGUGAGACAAGGUCAGAAUGAUUUCGGGUUCCCCUGUUCUGACUUUGGAAAAUCAUAAAAAAUUAUAUAAAAAUAAUUAGGGGCUUAAAUUUAUAUGUUUAGAAUCCUAAGUGAGUCUAUUUUCAAGAGAAAUAAACAAAAACAUCAUUUGAAUCCUGUACGAGGAGAUAAUUAAUUUUUAGUAAUAAAGGGUCAGAAUUAUCAGACAACAGAAUAGAAGUGACUUUAAAGAAUAAACUGUACUUAUUGGCUAAGACAAAAAUUCUGAAAAUUUUAUGGUAAGAAGAUAUGUAAGUCUAGUUUUAUAGAAAAUUAUCUGACCUUAAUGUUGAGGUCUGUAGCUCAAGAUAUAAAUAAUUUAGUGACUAUGACGCAAAUGGACAGUUUUGAAUAUACAUAUAAGUGAAGAGUGAAAGUAUUGAUAAUGUUACUUGUAGCAUGUUAUAUAAAUUAAGGAUGAGGAAUGGAGAGGAGGAGAAGAAUAUGUAUGAAUAUUUAGCUAGCAUGGCUAAUUUGUAUGUUUUAGGCUAAGAGACUAAAUUGAAUAAAAGUAAAUUUUUAGGGGCAAUUUUGUAAGGAUAUAAAAAAUGACCAAUUUGAAGGAAAUGAAUUGACUUAUUGUCUAAAUUAAUAAAUUGAAUGGAAUUAUCAAUUUAGAUCAAGAUCAGAUGAAAGUCGGGGAAAAUGAAAAAUUACCAAAAUGCCCCUAAAUCUGGUUAUUUUUGCAAUUUAUCAGGUAAAUUUGUGUAUCAUAAUUGAGCAUGAAAAUAUGUUAAAUUGUAUGUUAUAUUGGAUUGAAUGUGAAAUAUUAGUACAUUCGUAUAAUAUGAAACAAUAUGAAUAAGAAAUGAAUUAUUACCAUAUAUGCUUGAAGUAUAUAUAAUGAUUUGUACAUGUUAUAUGGACACAUGGUGUGGAAAGUAUGUGCAUAUAGAAUUUGAUUUAUGUUAAGUUUGAUAUGAAUUAUUAUCGGAAUAAAUAUACGUGAAAUAUAUGGAAAUUAUGGUACAUGAAAUUUUAAUAUAAUGAAAUAAAUGAUUUUAAACGGUAAGAGAAUGAUAUAUUUCAUGACAUGCACAUAUAUGAUAAUAUUUGAUUUAUUGAUACAAGGAAAUUAUGUAGGUGGAGACAAUUAUUAAAAUCAAGUGUGACAUGUUGAGAAAAUAAGUAUAUCAAUGUUGAGUUUAUAUAAAAUAUGCGUAAGUAUACUAACAAUGUUGAUUGAUGCUAAGACAAGUGUCAAGCUAUUGAUUGAAUGAUAAUAUAUUUAUCUAUAGGAUGUAUUGAAUUGGUAAGUAUUUAACGGAAAUUUUUGCUAAAUGAUAUGUAAAUCCGAGUAAUGCUCCGAAACCUUAUUCCGGCGAUAGAUAUGGGUUAGAGGUGUUACAGGUCUUGAUAGGUUUCUUUUAGUCAUAACCUAUAAAAACCUGCCAGAAGUAAAUAAAAGAAAAUUUAGUGAUAUAAAAAAAAUUAAAAUAAAAAAUUAAAUUGCAAUAAAAUAAAUGGCUAAAGUAAUAAAAAUUAAGCUUUCCUAAUAUCUUAGUUCCCCGGUAACGGCGCCAAAAACUUGAUGUGCGUGAUAAGUUUUAUAUUUAUGAUUGAUCAUACUUGAAAACUAACUAUUAUCACGAUAAAAGCAAGCGCACUUAUCGAACAGUAGUAUAGCUUAUAGCAAGACCGGAAUGUCGAACCCACAGGAACUAAAAGUACUAGUAUUAACCUUCUUUUUAUUAUCUAGCCUAAAAAUAAGGGGAUUUGCUUUAUCUAAACUAAUUAACUAAGCUAAGAAUGCACAGGAAGUAAAUUGGGGAAAUACUUUUUGGAAAACUGAUUGAUUUAGACAAUACCAAAGGAAGAAUCCACCUAGACUUCACUUGUUAUUUGACUCUGAACUAGACGAUUUAUUCACUUGACUUGAUCCGUAGAAAUCCCUAAUUUAUAUUAUUAUCUCUCUCAAGACUAACAACGUCUAACCCUAGGUUGAUUAAUUGAAAUCUCUUCCUAAUUAAAACCCUAGUGUUGCAUUAACUCGAUCUAUGGAUUCCCUUAUUAGGUUUGACCCUAUGUCUAGGGGUGCAAUCAACUCCGCUAAUUAUGCUAGAUCUACUCUUAGGCAGGGACUUUUGCUCCUCUGAAUAAGCACAUCAAUACUUGAAUCAAUAUCCUGGAAUAUUAAAGCAAGAAUUAAGAACACAUAAUUAAGAACAAAUCAAGUAUUUAUCAUAUAAUUCAAAAAAUAGUAACGAGAUCCGUCUUAGGUUUCAUCCCCCUUAGGUAUUUAGGGAAUUUAGUUCAUAUGUGUAAAAUAAAACAUCUCAGGAGAAUAAUAAUAACAAAACAUAAAGGAACCCAAAAACCCCUGAAGGAAAUUUAAGGGAGAUCUUUAGUCUUGAAGGAGAAUCCAGCUUCUGAGAUGGAUCAAUCAGCUUUCUUCGAGUAAUUCCUUGCCUCCCACUCCGUGUGUGUUUUCUAGGUGCCUCAUCGGGUGUUUAUAUAGGCUUUAGAAUGCUUCAAAACCCUCAAAAGUGGCAUUUUCUGAGUAGAACUAGACUUGGAUUCGACAGGGACACGGCCGUGUGGGGUGGCUUAGGCCGCGUUAAAGUCUGCUAAAUAGACACGGGCGUGUGGUCUACCCGUGUGAGAAAGUCCAGGCCGUGUUGAUUUCCCACGUUGACCCAUUUUCUCCAUUUUUUUUGCCCGUUUCUCGCUCUUUUUAUUCUCCUAUGCUCACCUAAGUAUAAAACAUGAAAUUAAAGGAUUAGGAGCAUUAAAUUCACUAAGAAAGAAGGAAAGAUCAUUCAUAAAUAUGCCAAGUAUGGGGUAAAAAUAUGUAUAGAUUACGGUUUAUCAUAUAUAUUAUUAACAUAAAAGGUUAAAUUUCAAAUCUAAUCCCUUUAUCUUUCUACUAUAUAUAAAUUGGUUAAAUUUCAUUUUCGGUCCUUAGUCUAAAUACUUUAUUAUAACUAAAAUUGUUAAGCGAAUUUUAAGAAUUAUUAACAUUGUUAAAAUUUUCUAUUAAAUUUAGGUCUAUUACACCUACCAUUUUCUUAUCUCAUGGCUACAAGUGAGCUUUAUUAUUAUUAUUUUUUAAUUUUAGAAUGUCACACCAACAAUUUUAAUAGAAAAAAUUUAACGAUUUUACAAACAAAACUCAUAUUCUUAAAUUUGAAAAGUUGAGUGACUAAAUUUUUUAAUAAAAAAAUUAUGAAGGUUACAUUUCAAAUGUAUGGAGAAUAUAAAAGCAUAAAGCUGAUUAUGACCUUUAAAUUUUAACUCUAUAAUUUAACCUAAAAUAAUUAACUUAAUUUGAAGCAUGGAUCAAAAAUUAUAUUAAUUACUUAAAGGUUGCUUAAAAAAAAUUAGGUAAGGAUGCUUACCUUUCUUCAAGAAAUUUUAUUAUGUGCUUUGUUGGAAAAUAUGAACAUCACAUAUAUAAUAAGAGUAAUUACGUGUUAUUAUUUACUAUCAUGAUAGGUUAGCCCAAAUUAAAAAUGAUCUAAUUUGGUUAAAAUUUUAUUGGGCUUUAAUUAUUAAAUAAAGUAUAGGUCAAAUAUGUGUAGAUACUCUAGCAAUUGAGUUCUAAUCAAAUUCUAAUUAGUGAUGGGCUAAUUAAAAUUUGAUUAGAACUAAUAUGCCAAGGUUAUAAAUAUUAAGGUUACGGUCCCCAAAUUAUACACAAGAUAUCUUUUUUAAUAUCCCAUCAUUAGGAGAGAGAGCAGAUAUUCUUAGAAUUUCUUGUGUGCUAAUUUGGAAGAUUAAAUCCGCAAAAUCCGGUAAAACGAAUUCACGGAUUCAGCUACAGUUUCGCAUUUAGUUUUAUUCUUGAUUUAUUUUUGAUAAUUUGACAUGAUAAAUCCUGGUUUAUUCAGUUUUAUUUUAGAUUUAUUUUACAAAUCUAACAAGUGGCAUCCGAGCUUUGUCAUGUUGAAUCAUUGAGAAUGAAUUGAUUUUUUAUUAUUUUUGAAUUGAUUCAUUUUUUUAAAAAAUUUUAUGGAUUUGAUAUUUUAAUUAUAUAUUAUGUUGAAUCUUUGAGAUUCCUGAUAAAUUUUUGGGUUUUGAUUCUUUAAAUAAAGUUUUAGGGUUUUAUUAAUAUAAUCUAGUUUAAUAUUUGUAUAUGCUAUUCGAAAGAUGAAGGUUUAUUUAUUUAUUUGAUAAAAAUUUAUUCGUGAGAUUUCUUUAUCUUCUUUUCACACAAUUAUUUUAUAAAUUUUGGUUAAAGUCAUUAUUAAAUUAAAGUUACAAACUUACGACUUUUUGCAAUUGAGGAAUUCCAAUUGGGUUGUAUAAUUGGUUUUGAAAGUUAAUUCACUUGAUAAUCGAAUAAAUGAAUGUUGGUAAGAUAUUUUUUUUUGCACUAUUUGCUUUAAAUUUUUUGUUUGUGGUUGAAUAUAUAUGGAAUCAUAAUUUUUGUCUUUAUUCAUGAUGAAUUAUAUUCACCAUUGAAUUCAAUUUAUAUAUACGAAUGAUUACUUUUGGUUUCUAUUAUAAUUAUUUUAUAUAAGUUUUACUCCUUAUGGAAACUAACUAAAAUUAAAAUAUUUGGGAUUUUUUUAAAAUAUGGUGGCUAUGAAUUUUCAUAAGUAGUUGCGCAUAUAAAAGUUUUUAUAUAAUUUGGGAUUCUUUUUAUAUUUAGUGGUUAUGGAUAUCUUUAAGUAUUUGUGCAUAUAAAAGAAGUUUUAUGAUAUUGUCUUUAGUCAUGAAUAUAAAUUUGAGUUUACAUGAAAUAUGUAAGGCAAGCCAGUAUUAUUUUUAUAUUAUUAUAAUUGUGUGUAUAUAUUAUGUGUGUAUAUAUAUUAUAUGCAUAUCAACGAUUUUGAGGAUUAAUGCAUGAUUAUAGUUUGUGUGAAUAGGUGUUUAUAACCAUUAUUCAAUAAGAUAUCUUUUAUAGUUUAAUUGGUGAAAUUAAGUUUUGAUGGAUAUCAUUGAAGUUGUUAAUUUUUUUUUAUUUUGUUAUGGUUAUAUAUUCAAUUUUAUGGAUGUUUUGGUGCAAAUUCAUGUCAACUAUAUACAUAUUUAGAUAUUUUGGUUUUAAGUUUGAUUGUAUAAUCUUAGGUUUUGGCAUCUUAUGGUUCCAAAUAUUUGGUUAAAUUAUGAUGAUGUGGUUUAUUGUAUGAAUUGUGGGAUAUGCCAAACUAUUAUGAUUUUGUUUUUUUUUUAAGAUUUAUUAGCUAGAAAAUAUUUUUCAAGUAUUCAUGUGAAUAUCUGUUUAAUCAUAAAUGCAACUUUGGAUUUACAUGGUAAAUUCAGGGUAAAUUUUUCUAUUUGAUUAUGAAUACGUGUAUAUGCGUGAAUUGCUUUGGUGUUUUUAUCUAUGCCAAAAUUAUGAAUACAUGUGCUUGUUAAUUAUUUGGCUUUGAACCACUACAUUAUUUUUGUUUGGUUUUGAUAUAUAUGGUUUUGGAACAAAAAAAGAAAUAGUCAAAAAUCAAGGUUUUCGAUUUUUUAUUGCAUUAUUAACACAACCUUAUUUUGGGUUAUUUUGGAGUCUAUAAAGUAAUAAAAAAAUAGUUUUGACAUUUGACUGUUGGGUAAAUUUUAAAUUUGAAUAUUGGUAUGUUUAUAUAUAAUUUCAAACAACUUAAUUGAAACAAUAAGUCACCAAAGUGAUUUUUUUGUAUGAAUUAUUUUGUUUUAAAAUAUAAAAGGUUGUGUGCAUGUAACUUAAGUUAUGUUAAUAUUGAUUGACCCAAAUAAAGGUUAAUAAUAUAACAUAUGCAACAUGGUAAUAAACAUGUGAUAAUUAUUCAGUUUUACAUGUAAGCAAUAAAUUGGUCCAAAGGAAGAUUUAUGGUUUGACAUGUUCUUAUUGUCAAUAUUUGAUUAUUACACCAAUAUAUCACUUACAAGUUAAUAUUUUGUCUAAAGAUAAAAUAUUAAUAGAGUGUCCGAUAUCUUAUGAUGAUGUUUACCUUUAUUCAAAUUAUUUUGGUUUAAAUUUGAAGUCUUAUGUGAGGUUGUUUAUGGUUUAUGAUUUAUUCAACUAUUAUUAUAUCUACCAACAUCAUUGUAUGUUGUUUUGGGAUAAAUAUAUAUACAUAUAUAUACUAUUAUCUUUUAAUUUGAUUGAAAGAUGAAAUUAAAAGAAAUAUUUUGAAACAAAUAAAUUUAGAUUUUGGCUUUAGGUUUUAAUUAAGGAUGUCUAAUAUUUUAAAUAGAUUAGUUGAAACAAAAUGCCACCAAAGUGACCUCUUUUUCGUAAAUUAGUUUAUUUAAAAUAUCAAGAUAUAUGUUUUUGUGAUUCAUGCGUUUAUUAAUUGACCCAAAGGUAAGCUAAUAUUUGGAAAAAUUUCAACGACAUUUGUGGUGAUAAAUGUGUAACAAUUAUAAGAUAUUUUAUGUGAACAAUAAGUUAGUCCAAAGAUUAACUCAUUGUUAGAAAUAGUUUAUUGUCAAUGUUUGAUUGCUACAACAAGAGUACUGCUUACUAUUGAUAUUACUGUCCAAAGACUUGAUAUUAAUGUUGUAUUUGGUAUCUUGAGAUAAGAUUAGCCCUUAUCCUAAAUUUAUUGUUUACUUAUAAAUAUUUAUGUGAGCUUAUUUUUUUUUGUUCUAUAUUCAGCUAAUUCAUCUUUUACUACCAUAAUAUUUGCUAAUAUAAAUUCUAUACUCAUGCUUAAUGGGACUAAUUUCAAUGAAUGGAAAAGACACUUACUUAUAGUGUUUGGUUGUAUGAACAUAGACAUUGCACUAAGGGGAGAACAACCCCUUAUGUUAAAAGGGAUUUUGAGAGGUGGGAUCAUUCAAAUUGCAUCAAUCUAAUGAUCAUGAAGUACAACAUUUUAGAAGCCUUUAAGGGAAACGAAUCUAAAAAGAUUAUUCAGGCCAAAGUUUCCUUGACAAAAUUGAGAAACGUUUUGCUAAAAACGAUAAUGUUGAAAUGACAUCACUUCUGACUUCUUUGAUGUCUAUAAAGUAUAGGGGUCAAGGAAAUUCUGAGUGAUCUAAGGGCUAUAAAUUUUAUGAUCCCAUAAUAAGGAAUAUUUUUGAGACGGGAACUGCAACAUUUUUUGAGGAUGUUGAGUUUGGGGGGAGAAAUAAGAUUAGAGACAUUGCUUUUGAGAAGGAAUUGGAUUCUAACUCAGUUCCUACUAUAACUUUUGAUGAUGUUUAGGUUCUCAUACCUAUCAUUGAUUAAGAAUUGAAUCUAGAACCUCAAUAAGACAAUAUUGAACAACUCCUUAUUCAAGAUGAGGUAAUUGUUCCAGAAGAACAAACCCAACAACCUCAAGAAUGAAUGUCCUUAAAAAGAUCCACUAGAGAAAUGGAUAUAAUGGCUUUAGUGGAAUAUUUUGACAUUAAGCUACAUUAGAUGAAUAUUAAGUUAAUGGUUUCUUAAUGGUAACAUUGAUCAUACAUUUAUAUGGUACAAUUAGAAAGGUUUGUGUUUAAUGAUGCAAAGUUAAUGAUUUGUAAAGAACUUCAUCUAUGGGCUUAAGUAAACUUCUCGUCAAUAAUAUUACAAAUUUUACCAAAUGAUUAUCUUAUUCGGUUUAGAGAUGAAUUUUAUUGAUAAUCAUAUAUACCAUAAGUUUAGUGGGAGUAAGGUUCUAUAUUUGGUUUUAUAUGUUAAUGACAUACUGGUUGUCAAUAAUAAGUAUAGCCUCAAUCAAUGCCCUAAGAAUGAUUUUGAGAUUACAAAAAAAUGUAUUAGAUUUUUACAUUUUAUCAGUAGAAAGUCUAAUGUAUGUUCAGGUUUGUAUACAUUGGAAUAUUGUGUACACUAUUGGGAUGUUAGGCAGAUAUUUUAAGCAACCCUGGUUUGGACCAUUGGAUAGCAUCCAAGAGGGUUAUAAGGUAUUUUCAGAGAACAAAAGAUUACAUGCUCACAUAUUAGAGGUCUAAUGUAAUGCCCCAAAAAUCCUGAAAUCUCAAUUUUUUUUUCAAUUUUGAUAAAAAGUGUGCUUAAUAUUUCUAGUCAAGUGCUACUUAUGUGAUAAUAGGCCUUGGUUAAGGUUUGGGUUCGAACUUAGGGGUGAAGGAAAUUAUAGGUUAAUAACUAAAAGAACCCUGAUGGCAAGUAGGUGAGCUUUUGAAUAAAUGAAGGAGGAAUUGGAUACAAGAAAGCCUUGUGGUAGAGUGGUAAGUGGAGUCACAUGCAAGGCAAGCGGGUUUGGGGUUCAAAUCCCUCCUUGCUCAAAAAAAGGAUUUAUUUUUACUUAAGAGAUGGUCAGUGGUGGCGUUGGAUAUGAACACUGUAGGGAGUGAUAAGAGGAGAAAUUUGAGGAGGGGAUUAGGGAGUUAUUAGGGAGAAAAAUUAGGAGAUGAGGAGUGAAGAAGAGGUGGAGCCGAAUUGGGAAUUUGGGCAUAGAAAAUUUGGCUAUGGACUAUAUAUAGGUACCGUAUGUGAGGAUUCCAGGCUAAUGUUGAAUUCUCCCUUUCCUUGUUACCAGAAAACACUUUUCUCUCCAAGGAUCAAAAAGCCGAAAUUCCUUGUUCUUCCUACUUUACUUUGUGUCGAUUUUCUAUUCUUUCCCCUACUCAAUACAUUUUUUUUAUUCACCUCUGGUUGCAAACAGUUUCUACUGUUCUUUUUCUUUGUGCCGAAUAACCUUUUCUAUCAUACAAACCUUAAAAGCCGAAUAUCCUUUGUGCCGCCACUACUCCUUCUACCUCAGCCAAUUCUAGUGUAAGUGUUUUGUUCUUUCAGUCGGUUUUGCUAAGUAUUGAUUACUCCUGUCCCUCACUCAUUCUGAAUCAAUUUUGGUAGGAUUAUUAUCGAACCUCAGUCUUUUGGAUCUCUGCUGAUUUGCUCCCUAGGUGUUGAAACUUUGGUAAGUGUUCUUCACUUUGGUAAGGGUUGGCCGAACAGACUUUAAUGGGAAAGGGUGACAUAUGUUGGAUACAAGUCACCAAUUAUGUUUUUAAUGAUAAGGUUAAUGCAGAUCUGGGAAGUGCUCGUGAUUGGUUAGCAAGAAAAAGCGAUUAAGGCUUGGCAUUGCAGGUAAGGUUAAGGUGAGAUUUCAGCUUUUUGUAAAAGUAUUCGAUAAGUAUGUGUGCUUAAUCAUUGAGUAACAUCGAUUGUAGGUUCAUGGCUAGGGAGAUCGCAACACGUUCUAUUACCAGGCGUGUACAUACACUGUACACACAUAGUUGAUCGGCAAAUCCUGAAAUGCCGAAAAGUCAAAAUGUGAAAAAGUCAAUUUUGGCUACAAUAGACUUGCGAGUGCGCGAACACUCGUAAGGGGAAAUCGAUAGGUUAUUAGAGGCCCCACAGGCGAUACCAUGGACUGGGGCCGUGUAUUGGCUUACCAGGCCAGAAUGGGCUAAAUGGGCCCGAUGGGCUGUAGGGCCUAAAAUAGGCAAGUGAUGAGAAAUUGUAUGAAAGCUUGACUAUGAGUGUGAUUGGGCCUAACGGGUCAUAUAAAUGUGAUUUGGGCUUAAUGGGGCAUACGAAUGUGAUUUGGGCCUAAUGGGCCAUAUGAUUGAGAUUGGGCCUAGUGGGCCAUAUGCAUGUAUGUAGAUUUGUUGGGCUUUGUAGGGGGUUUUGGGCCUAGUAUAUGAUAACAGCUUAAACAGACAUAAAACUUAAUUAAAUAACUAAGCGUGACCGUGGACAAGUCAUAGGGUUAAGGUUUGGCAACGAGUAUACGCAUGUCUAUGAUUGGAUUUAGGGAGAGCUUGGUACUUAAGUGGUCUCAAUGACUCACCUCCUCUUCUCUGGAAUCCUAUCUGGUGCAUAGUAUCCGUUCAUCUUAGCCAACAGAGACUUGUUAACGGGCUAAGGUAAGUAAUAAACCCAUAACAAGAGAAAUUAUCGAAAUGCCCCUAAGGGCAAAAAUGACUAUAUGUGGAAUAUAAGACUUAUGGAUGUUCAUGUAUAUCUGCUGCAUACAUGCGAUAUUCUGUUUAGGUUGCAUAUGGGUUAGGAAUUAUGAAACGGAGGAAGUAUAUGAGGAUUUCACGGUUGCUUGACAACCGUGGAUCCACCGACGGCUAUUAAGCCCAAUAUGUGAUUUGUAGCUUGCUGCAAUGAAGGUAGUACCACAACUGGGCUACCAUUGAUGUGUAUUGGAUGGGUGGGUUGAUAUUUAUAUCCCCACAUGAAGUGUAUAAGGGACGGAGUUGGUGUGUAGCGGUUGGAUUAUUGGGGUGGGUUGCACUGCAUUGCAUGUAUGACAUUAUGGUGAUUGAUGAUUGCUUAGGACUCUUUGAGGGUUUUACACACUGAGUUUUCGAAAACUCACCCCCUCUUUUAUUUUUCUCAAGUGAUGCUCAGUAGGAGGUUCGACGGUUGGAGGGACUCCAAGGUGGCCAACUAGCAAGACGACUUGGACUUGUUCUUUUAAACAUAUUGCUUCUAGUUAUUAAGUUAUUUCAGACUAGAAUGUAAUAAGGUCCUCCCUCUAGUUAUUGUUCAAAUUAGGAUUAUUAUUUUUAUGCAUUAUGUUUGUGAGAAGUUGAACAUGGGUUUCCUAAACCAUAGUUUUUUAAAAAUGCUACGUUUCCACAACUCAAUUUUAAAUGACAAGUUUCCAUAAAUCUUAUGUUUUGGAUAAGACGUCCGCAACUGAAAAGAGACUUUACAAAGUAAUUAAGGUUUUUCUUUGUAAAGAAUGGUUUUCAAUGAAAAUAAGGUUUUCGAUAAAACACUUCAAUGUGACACGCCGGAUCUGGUCAUAACAUCUCGAUCGGGUUUACGGUGUUACAUUUAGUGGUAUCAGAGCUCAGGUUGCAAAAAUCGGGCUGUGAAGUGGGCCUUAUUAUUUGGGUUUGUUUUAAAAAAAUAAUUGGAUCACAAUGUUUUGGAAAAAGUUCUUGCUGUGCGGCACAUUGAGUCUCCUACGUUGAAUCGAGUAAGCUCUAUUAUUCUUAAACCUUUUUAAUUUGAUAUAUUAUAGAUAGUUAGUGGGCUACUUUAGAUGAUUAUACGAAAACAACCUUCUUUUUAGUACUUUCAUAAAACAUCGGUUUAAUUAUUGAAACUAAUUAAAACUUCAUAAAAUUUCUAAUUCAGACAAUAUGUGAAUCAACGAUGAUUGCUAGAAGAAGUACAAGAGGCCGUGACCGAGGCCGCUAAAGUGUUAGGACUGGAUCGUCAACAUCAAGCCAUAUGCCCAAUGUUGGAGUAAAAGAAGCCCCGGCCCCAUCCAUGGCUGAGACUGGACCGUAUGAUCGGGCCACAGAGAAAGAUACAUUGUCGCAGGCAAUGCUGAAGAAUUUGGAAAGGGUCGCAGGGCCCAAUAAUGGCACGGGAAAUUGGGGGUCCAUUCUUGAGCUAUUCAGAUCAAAUGGGGAUGAGAUCUUUAAGGGCGUAGCUAGUGUGGCUCCUAACACGGCUGAAUAUUGGUUAGAGGCCACUAAAAGGAUAAUGGAAGACUUGGACUGUUCACCUGAACAAAAGUUGAAAGGGGCAGUGUCACUACUUAGGAAAGAAGCUUACCAGUGGUGGCUGACGGUGAAAGAGAGCACCCAACCUGAGCAGGUCACCUGGGAGUUUUUCAAAACUGGAUUUCAAGGAAAGUAUCUGGGCGCGAGUUAUGUGGAUGCUAGAAGGAAAGAGUUCCUGAACUAACCCAGGGAAACAAAUCUGUGGCGGAGUAUGAAACGGAAUUCCUACGCCUCAGUAGGUAUGCAAGAGCUAUGGUGGCAAUGGACUAUGAGCGUUGCGUUAGGUUUGAAGAUGGUCUUAGGGAUAGUCUCAAAGUAUUGAUAGCUCCACAAAGGGAGCGAGUUUUCUCGGAGUUGGUUGAGAAAGCAAAGAUAGUAGAGGAGUUAAAGUGCACUGAGUUCCUAAAUCGGGAAAAAGAAAGGGGUAAGAAUAAAAGGGAGGCUGAGACUCCUGGUGUUGGACAGAGGCCUAGGGCUAGGGCCAAAUUUAAUGGGCCAAUUAGAGCAGGGCCCCUUGCUAUUAAUCCAGGGGUGCCACCUUAUGCUAAUUGUGGAAAAGGUCCUGUAGGCGAGUGUUGGAAGAGGACGAGAGCUUGCCUAGCUUGUAUACCUAUGGAACAUAGGAUCAGGAAUUGCCCCAAAAUGCCAGCGCAGGUGCCAGCCGUGGGUCAAGGUGGUGUUCAGCCACCAAAGGGUGGUCAGCUGCCGCCAAGGGCCCGUUGUCAGGCCAGGGUCAACAACAGUAACGGACGUGGGCGUAGAGCAUCAGGCAGAAAUGCAGGCCAUGUUGAGGCGAGACAGCUAGCUUUGGUUUAUGUUGUUCAUCACCGAGAAGACAGGGAUGCCCCACAGGUGAUAACGGGUAUGUUCUUUAUUCAUGAGUUACCUUACAUUGGAUUGAUUGAUAUUGGAUCGACGCAUUCAUAUGUUGCAUGCAAUAUGACUGAACCUUUGGGUGAUAUGUUUGAAAUUACUACGAAUGAGAUUACUGUGAUAAGUCCGUUAGGUCAGUCAGUGGGAGUGAAUAAGUUGUUUAGGGAGGUACCUUUAGUAGUCCAAGGGGUUACCUUUUUAGCAUAUUUGAUGGAACUACCGUUUAGCGAGUUUGAUUUAAUCUUGGGUAUGUAUUGGCUGGUGAAACACCGAGCCACCUUAGAUUGAGCUGCAAAGCGAAUGGCAUUAAGAACGAUGGAGGAUAAGGAGGUGGUGGUGAUUGCGGAACGCCAAAAUUAGUUGUCAAAUGUGAUUUCGGCAUUAAGGGCUGAGAAGUUGGUACGAAAGGAAUGCAAAGCCCAUUUGGCUUAUAUUAGCGAUACGGAGG
rnacentral:lncRNA from 1 species